CGCUGGUGGCGACAGCGACUGCGUGGCAUUCCUCCUCCUACUGCGACCAAGGUUAUCCCCAUUCUGCACUCCCCCCUCGUCUCUAGUUUGCUUCUCCAUGUUGAUGCCUUCCUCCCUUCGCCAUGUGCAGUCUUACUGCUCCAGAUCCACGGGCAACCUCUGGCUCUGCUUUCUUGCUGCAUCUGUAGUGACUUUGGCAGUUGUAGAUCAGUAGAGGUAGGUGUUGGGGAACGUAGCAGAAAUUCAAAAUUUUCUACACAUCACCAAGAUCAAUCUAUGGAGUAAUCUAGCACCGAGGGGAAGGGGAGUCCAUCUACAUACCAUUGUAGAUCGCGAUGCGGAAGCGUUGCAAGAACGCGGAUGAAGGAGUGGUACUCGUAGCGAUUCAGAUCGCGGUUGAAUCCGACCUAAGCGCCGAACCACGGCGCCUCCGCGUUCAACACACGUGCAGCCCGGUGACGUCUCCCACGCCUUGAUCCAGCAAGGAGAGAGGGAGAGGUUGGGGAAGACUCCGUCCAGCAGCAGCACAAAGGCAUGGUGGUGAUGGAGGAGCGUGGCAUUCCAGCAGGGCUUCGCCAACCACUACGAGAGACGAGGAGGGAAAGGGGUAGGGCUGCGCCAAAGAGAGAGGAUGACUCAUAUCUGCGGCAGCCCCAAAACCCCCACUAUAUAUAGGGGAGGGGGAGGGGCUGCGCCCCCAUCUAGGGUUCCCCCCCAAGGGGUGCGGCCAGCCCUAGAUGGGACUUGGAGGGGCGGCCAACGGGGGAGAGAGGGGGGCGCACCACUAGGUGGGCCUUAGGCCCAUCUGAGCCUAGGGUUUCCCCCUUCCCCCUUCUCUGCGCCUUGGGCCCCUUGUGGGAGGCGCACCAGCCCACCUAGGGGCUGGUCCCUUCCCACACUUGGCCCACGCAGCCCUCUGGGGCCGGUGACCCCACCUGGUGGACCCCCGGGACCCUCCCGGUGGUCCCGGUACGUUACCGAUAGCACCCGAAACUUUUCCGGUGACCAAAACAGGACUUCCCAUAUAUAAAUCUUUAUCUCCGGACCAUUUCGGAAAUCCUCGUGACGUCCGGGAUCUCAUCCGGGACUCUGAACAACAUUCGGUAACCACGUAUAUCUAUUCCCUAUAACCCUAGCGUCAUCGAACCUUAAGUGUGUAGACCCUACGGGUUCGGGAACCAUGCAGACAUGACCGAGACGUUCUCCGGCCAAUAACCAACAGCGGGAUCUGGAUACCCAUGUUGGCUCCCACAUGUUCCACGAUGAUCUCAUCAGAUGAACCACGAUGUCGGGGAUUCAAUCAAUCCCGUAUACAAUUCCCUUUGUCUACCGGUAUAGUACUUGCCCGAGAUUCGAUCGUCGGUAUCCCGAUACCUUGUUCAAUCUCGUUACCGGCAAGUCUCUUUACUCGUUCCAUAACACAUCAUCCCGUGAUCAACUCCGUGGUCACAUUUUGCACAUUAUGAUGAUGUCCUACCGAGUGGGCCCAGAGAUACCUCUCCGUUUACACGGAGUGACAAAUCCCAGUCUCGAUUCGUGCCAACCCAACAGACACUUUCGGAGAUACCUGUAGUGCACCUUUAUAGCCACCCAGUUACGUUGUGACGUUUGGUACACCCAAAGCAUUCCUACGGUAUCCGGGAGUUGCACAAUCUCAUGGUCUAAGGAAAUGAUACUUGACAUUAGAAAAGCUCUUAGCAAACGAACUACACGAUCUUGUGCUAGGCUUAGGAUUGGGUCUUGUCCAUCACAUCAUUCUCCUAAUGAUGUGAUCUCGUUAUCAACGACAUCCAAUGUCCAUGGUCAGGAAACGGUAACCAUCUAUUGAUCAACGAGCUAGUCAACUAGAGGCUUACUAGGGACAUGGUGUUGUCUAUGUAUCCACACAUGUAUCUGAGUUUCCUAUCAAUACAAUUUUAGCAUGGAUAAUAAACGAUUAUCAUGAACAAGGAAAUAUAAUAAUAACCAAUUUAUUAUUGCCUCUAGGGCAUAUUUCUAACAGUCUCCCACUUGCACUAGAGUCAAUAAUCUAGUUCACAUCGCCAUGUGAUUAAUACCCAAGAGUUUACUAGACUCAAUAAUCUAGUUCACAUCACCAUGUGAUGGUAAUGAAUCCAACACCCAUGGGGUUUGUUCAUAUCUCGCUUGUGAGAGAGGUUAUUAGUCAACGGGUCUGAACCUUUCAGAUCCGUGUGUGCUUUACGAAUAUCUAUGUCAUCUUGUAGAUGCAGCUACCACGCGCUACUUGGAGCUAUUCCAAAUAACUGCUCUACUAUACGAAUCCGGUUUACUACUCAGAGUCAUCCGGAUUAGUGUCAAAGUUUGCAUCGACGUAACCCUUUACGACGAACUCCUUUUCACCUCCAUAAUCGAGAAAAUUCCUUAGUCCACUUGAUACUAAGGAUAAGUUCGACCGCUGUCAUGUGAUCCAUUCCCGGAUCACUAUUGUACCCCUUGACUAACUCAUGGCAAGGCACACUUCAUGUGCGGUACACAACAUAGCAUACUGUAGAGCCUACGUCUAAAGCAUAGGGGACGACCUUCGUCCUUUCUCUCUCUUCUGCUGUGGUCAGGUCUUGAGUCUUACUCAAUACUCACACCUCGUAACACAGCCAAGAACUCCUUCUUUGCUGAUCCAUUUUGAACUCCUUCAAAAACUUGUCACGGUAUGUAUUCAUUUGAAAGUACUAUUAAGCGUUUUUGAUCUAUCCUUAUAGAUCUUGAUGCUCAAUGUUCAAGUAGCUUAAUCCAGGUUUUCCAUUGAAAAACACUUUUCAAAUAACCCUGUAUGCUUUCCAGAAAUUCUACAUCAUUUCUGAUCAACAAUAUGUUAACAACAUAUACUCAUCAAAAAUUCUAUAGUGCUCCCACUCACUUCUUUGGAAAUACAAGUUUCUCAUAAACUUUGUAUAAACCCAAUUCUUUGAUCAUCUCAUCAAAGCGUACAUUCCAACUCCGAGAUGCUUACUCCAGUCCUUAGAAGGAUUGCUGGAGCUUUGCAUACUUGUUAGCAUCUUUCAGGAUUGACAAAACCUUCUGGUUGUAUCACAUACAACCUUUCCUCAAGAAAAUCGUCGAGGAAACAAUGUUUUGAUAUCCUAUCUACAAGAUUUCAUUAAUAAUGCAGUAACUGCUAAUACAAUUCCAACAGACUCUUAGCAUCGCUACGAGUGAGAAAGUCUCAUCGUAGUCAACUCCUUGAACUUGUCGGAAAACAUCUUAACGACAAGCUGAGCUUUCUUAAUGGUGACACUUACCAUCAUUGUGUGUCUUCCAUUUAAAAUCCAUCUGCACCCAACAGCCUUACGACCAUCAAGUAUUUCUUCCAAAGUCUAUACUUUGCUUUUAUACAUGAAUCCUCUCUCGGAUUUCAUGGCCUCGAGCCAUUCAUCGGAAUCCGGGCCCACCAUCGCUUCUCCAUAGCUCGUAGGUUCAUUGUUGUCUAGCAACAUGACUUCCAAGACAGGAUCACGUACCACUCUGAAGUAGUAUGCAUCCUCGUCGUCCUACGAGGUUUGGUAGUGACUUGAUCCGAAGUUUCAUGAUCACUAUCAUAAGCUUCCACUUCAAUUGGUGUAGGUGCCACAGGAACAACUUCCUGUGCCCUGCUACACACUAGUUGAAGUCAUGGUUCAAUAACCUCAUCAAGUCUCCACCAUCCUCCCACUCAAUUCUUUCGAGAUAAACUUUUUCUCGAGAAAGGACCUGUUUACUUCCAGAUCUGAAACAGGAGGUAUACCCAACUGUUUUGGGUAUUCUAUGAAGAUGCAUUUAUCCGCUUUGGGUUCGAGCUUAUCAGCCUGAAACUUUUUCACGUAAGCAUCGCAGCCCCAAACUUUUAAGAAACGACAACUUAGGUUUCUCUAAACGGUGUUGUCUCAACGGAAUUGCGUGGUGCCCUAUUUAAAGUGAAUGCGGUUGUCUCUAAUGCCUAACCCAUAAACGAUAGUGGUAAAGAGAUAUCAUGGUAUGCACCAUAUCCAAUAGGGUGCAGUUAUGAUGUUCGGACACACCAUCACAUUGUGGUGUUCCAGGCGGUAUUAAUUGUGAAACACUUUCCACAAUGUCUUAAUUGUGUGCCAAACUCGUGACUCAGAUAUCUCUAUGAUCAUAUCAUAGACAUUUUAUCCUCUUGUCACGACGAUCUUCAACUUCACUCUGAGAUUACUUGAACCUUUCAAUAAUUCAGACUUGUGUUUCAUCAAGUAAAUAUUCUCAGCAUCUACUCAAAUCAUCUGUGAAGUAAGAACAUAUCGAUAUCCACUGCGUGCCUCAGCACUCAUUGGACUGCACACAUCAAAUGUAUUACUUCCAACAAGUUGCUCUCUUGUUCCAUCUUACUGAAAACGAGGCCUUUCAGUCAUCUUGCCCAUGUGGUAUGAUUUGCAUGUCUCAAGUGAUUCAAAAUCAAGUGAGUCCAAACGAUCCAUCUGCAUGGAGUUUAUUCAUGCAUAUAUACCAAUAGACAUGGUUCGCAUGUCUCAAUCUUUUCAAAAACGAGUGAGUCCAAAGAUCCAUCUACAUGGAGCUUCUUCAUGCGUUCUAUACCAAUAUGACUCAAAUGGCAGUGCCACAAGUAUGUGGUACAAUCAUUACUAUUUUAUAUCUUUUGGCACGAACAUGUGUAUCACUGCGAUCGAGAUUCAUUUUAGGUGCAAGACCAUUGAAGGUAUUAUUCAAAUAAACAGAGUAACCAUUAUUCUCCUUAAAUGAAUAACCGUAUUGCGAUAAACAUAAUCCAAUCAUGUUUAUGCUCAACGCAAACACAAAAUAACAAUUAUUUAGGUUUAACACCAAUCUCGAUGGUAGAGGGAGCAUGCGAUGCUUGAUCAUAUCAACCUUGGAAACACUUCCAACACAUAUCGUCAUCUCACCUUUAGCUAGUCUCCGUUUAUUCCGCAGCUUUUAUUUCGAGUUACUAACACUUAGCAACCGAACCGGUAUCUAAUACCCUGGUGCUGCUAGGAGUACUAGAAAAGUACACAUUCAUAUAAUGUAUAUCCAAUAUACUUCUGUCGACCUUGCCUGCCUUCUCAUCUACCAAGUAUCUAGGGUAGUUCUGCUUCAGUGACCGUUCCCCUCAUUACAGAAGCACUUAGUCUCGGGUUUGGGUUCAACCUUGGGAUUCUUCACUAGAGCAGCAAAUGAUUUGUUGUUUCAUGAAGUAUCCCUUUUGCCCUUGCCCUUCUUGAAACUAGUGGUUUUACUAACCAUCAACAAUUGAUGCUCCUAUUUGAUUUCUACUUUCACGGUGUCAAACAUUGCGGAUAGCUCAAGGAUCAUCAUAUCUAUCCCUGAUAUGUUAUAGUUCAUCACGAAGCUCUAAUAGCUUGGUGGCAGUGACUAUGGAGAACCAUCACUAUCUCAUCUGGAAGAUUAACUCCCACUCGAUUUAAGCGAUUGUGGUACUCAGACAAUCUGAGCACAUGCUCAACGAUUGAGCUUUUCUCCCUUAGUUUGCAGGCUUAAGAAACUUGUCAGGGGUCUCAUACCUCUUGACGUGGGCACUAGUCUGACAUCCCAAUUUCAGUCUUCGGAACAUCUCAUAUGUUCUGUGGCGUUUCAAAACGUCUUUGGUGCCACAAUUCUAAACCGUUAGCAUUACGCACUGAACUAUCACAUAGUCAUCAAAACGUGUAUGCCAGAUGUUUCGCAACAUCUACAGACGACGCUGAGGUUCAGCACACCGAGCGGUGCAUUAAGGACAUAAGCCUUCUGUGCAGCAAUGAGGACAAUCCUCAGUUUACGGACCCAGUCCGCAUAAUUGCUACUAUCAACUUUCAACUAAAUUUUCUCUAGGAACAUAUCUUAAACAGUAGAACUAAAGCGUAAGCUAUGACAUAAUUUGCAAAGACCUUUUGACUAUGUUCAUGAUAAUUAAGUUCAUCUGAUUAUUUAAUGAACUCCCACUCAGAUAGACAUCCCUCUAGUCAUCUAAGUGAUACAUGAUCCGAGUCAAACUAGGUCGUGUCCGAUCAUCACGUGAGACGGACUAGUCAUCAUCGGUGAACAUCUCCAUGUGGAUCGCAUCUACUAUACGACUCAUGUUCGACCUUUCGAUCUCUUGUGUUCCGAGGCCAUGUCUAUACAUGCUAGGCUCGCCAAGUCAACCUAAGUGUUUCGCAUGUGUUCCGAGGCCAUGUCUGUACAUGCUAGGCUCGUCAACACCCGUUGUAUUCGAACGUUAGAAUCUAUCACACCCGAUCAUCACGUGGUGCUUCGAAACAACGAACCUUCGCAACGGUGCACAGUUAGGGGGAACACGUCUCUUGAAAUUUUAGUGAGGGAUCAUCUUAUUUAUGCUACCGUUGUUCUAAGAAAAUAAGAUGUAAACAUGAAAAACAUCACAUGCAAAUCAUAAAGUGACGUGAUAUGGCCAAUAUCAUCUUGCGCCUUUGAUCUCCAUCUUCGAGGCGCGGCAUGAUCACCUUCGUCACCGGCAUGACACCAUGAUCUCCAUCAUCAUGAUCUCCAUCAUCGUGUCUUCAUGAAGUUGUCUCGCCAACUAUUACUUCUACUACUAUGGCUAACGGUUAGCAAAAAAGUAAAGUAAUUACAUGGCGUUUUCAUUGACACGCAGGUCAUACAAUAAAUUAAGACAACUCUUAUGGCUCCUGCCGGUUGUCAUACUCAUCGACAUGCAAGUCGUGAUUCCUAUUACAAGAACAUGAUCAAUAUCAUACAUCACAUAUAUCAUUCAUCACAUCCUUUUGGCCAUAUCACAUCACAUAGUAUACCCUGCAAAAAUAAGUUAGACGUCCUCUAAUUGUUAUUGCAUGUUUUACGUGGCUGCUAUGGGAUUCUAGCAAGAACGUUUCUUACCUACGCAAAAGCCACAACAUGAUAUGCCAAUUUCUAUUUACCCUUCAUAAAGACCCUUUUCAUCGAAUCCGAUCCGACUAAAGUGGGAGAGACAGACACCCGCUAGCCACCUUAUACAACUAGUGCAUGUCAGUCGGUGGAACCUGUCUCACGUAAGUGUACGUGUAAGGUCGGUCCGGGCCGCUUCAUCCCACGAUACCGCCGAAUCAAGAUAAGACUAGUAACGGCAAGUAAAUUGACAAAAUCGACGCCAACAACUACUUUGUGUUCUACUCGUGCAUAGAAACUACGCAUAGACCUAGCUCAUGAUGCCACUGUUGGGGAACGUAGCAGAAAUUCAAAAUUUUCUACGCAUCACCAAGAUCAAUCUAUGGAGUAAUCUAGCAGCGAGGGGAAGGGGAGUGCAUCUACAUACCAUUGUAGAUCGCGAUGCGGAAGCGUUGCAAGAACGCGGAUGAAGGAGUCGUACUCAUAGCAAUUCAGAUCGCGGUUGAUUCCGAUCUAAGCGCCGAACCACGUCGCCUCCGCGUUCAACACACGUGCAGCCCGGUGACGUCUCCCACGCCUUGAUCCAGCAAGGAGAGAGGGAGAGGUUGGGGAAGACUCCGUCCAGCAGCAGCACAACGGCAUGGUGGUGAUGGAGGAGCGUGGCACUCCAACAGGGCUUCGCCAAGCACUGCGAGAGACGAGGAGGGAAAGGGGUAGGGCUGCGCCAAAGAGAGAGGAUGACUCAUAUCUGUGGCAGCCCCAAAACCCCCACUAUAUAUAGGGGGGGGAGGGGCUGCGCCCCCAUCUAGGGUUCCCCCCCCCCCCAAGGGGUGCGGCCAGCCCUAGAUGGGACUUGGAGGGGCGGCCAAGGGGGGGAGAGGGGGGCGCACCACUAGGUGGGCUUUAGGCCCAUCUGAGCCAAGGGUUUCCCCCUUCCCCCUUCCCUGCGCCUUGGGCCCCUUGUGGGAGGCGCACCAGCCCACCUAGGGGCUGGUCCCUUCCCACACUUGGCCCACGCAGCCCUCUGGGGCCGGUGGCCCCACUUGGUGGACCCCCGGGACCCUCCCGGUGGUCCCGGUACGUUAUCGAUAGCACCCGAAACUUUUCCGGUGACCAAAACAGGACUUCCCAUAUAUAAAUAUUUAUCUCCGGACCAUUCUGGAACUCCUCGUGAUGUCCGGGAUCUCAUCCGGGACUCCGAACAACAUUCGGUAACCACGUAUAUCUAUUCCCUAUAACCCUAGCGUCAUCGAACCUUAAGUGUGUAGAUCCUACGGGUUCGGGAACCAUGCAGACAUGACCAAGACGUUCUCCGGCCAAUAACCAACAGCGGGAUCUGGAUACCCAUGUUGGCUCCCACAUGUUCCACGAUGAUCUCAUAGGAUGAACCAUGAUGUCGGGGAUUCAAUCAAUCCCGUAUACAAUUCCCUUUGUCUACCGGUAUAGUACUUGCCCGAGAUUCGAUCGUCGGUAUCCCGAUACCUUGUUCAAUCACGUUACCGGCAAGUCUCUUUACUCGUUCCGUAAUACAUCAUCCCGUGAUCAACUCCUUGGUCACAUUGUGCACAUUAUGAUGAUGUCCUACCGAGUGGGCCCAGAGAUACCUCUCCGUUUACACGGAGUGACAAAUCCCAGUCUCGAUUCGUGCCAACCCAACAGACACUUUCGGAGAUACCUGUAGUGCACCUUUAUAGCCACCCAGUUACGUUGUGACGUUUGGUACACCCAAAGCAUUCCUACGGUAUCCGGGAGUUGCACAAUCUCAUGGUCUAAGGAAAUGAUACUUGACAUUAGAAAAGCUCUUAGCAAACGAACUACACGAUCUUGUGCUAGGCUUAGGAUUGGGUCUUGUCCAUCUCAUCGUUCUCCUAAUGAUGUGAUCCCGUUAUCAAUGACAUCCGAUGUCCAUGGUCAGGAAACCGUAACCAUCUAUUGAUCAACGAGCUAGUCAACUAGAGGCUUACUAGGGACAUGGUGUUGUCUAUGUAUCCACACAUGUAUCUGAGUUUCCUAUCAAUACAAUUUUAGCAUGGAUAAUAAACGAUUAUCAUGAACAAGGAAAUAUAAUAAUAACCAAUUAAUUAUUUCCUCUAGGGCAUAUUUCUAACAGUAGGUGUCUCUCGAUUAGAUCAAACACUUCAACCGAGACAAUGAUAUUCUACAUGAUGUUGACAAUGUAUAAAUUCGUAUACAUGUGGUCUCUUCUAACAAAGUUAACAGAGAAAAUACAAUGAUAUUCUACAUGAUGUUGACAAUGUAUAAUAUACUUCCGCAAUUUAACAUCAGUUUUAAGCCGAAGAAAAUUACUUUAGGUUUCGUGGUGGUCUAAAUAUUGCGGCUAGUGUGCUCAUAUGCUGAACUUAAUACGCAGCUUAAUCCUUCGAUUCAUAUAUUGUAACGCCCACGAUGCGGCUAUAACUCCCACGUGUCGAGGCACGACUUAGAGGCAUAACCGCAUUGUGGUUUUGUCGCAAGAAGGGUCAUCUUCACACAAUCCCAUGUAAUGAACAAGAAUGGGAUAACGAGAGUUGGCUUACAAUCGCCACUUCACACAAUACAUAAAUAUAAUUCAUACAUCAUCCAAAAUCCACACAUAGACCGACUACGGUCGAAUCCAAAUGAAAAUAAGAUAACCCCAAAUGCUAGAUCCCCGAUCGUCCCAACUGGGCUCCACUACUGAUCAUCAGGAAAAGAAACAUAGUAACAACCACGUCCUCAUUGAACUCGCACUUGAGCUCGGUUGCGUCAUCUGCACUGGCAUCGUCGGCACCUGCAACUGUUUUGGUAGAAUCUGUGAGUCACGAGGACUCAGCAAUCUCACACCCACGAGAUCAAAAAUAUUUAAGCUUAUAGGAAAGGGUGGUGUAAUGAGGUGGAGCUGCAGCAAGCACUAAGCAUAUAUGGUGGCUAACAUACACAAAUGAGAGCGAGAAGAGAAGCAACGCAACGGUCGCGAAGCUAGAAGUGAUCAAGAAGUGAUCCUGAAACUACUUACGUUCAUGCAUAACUCAAACCAUAUUCACUUCCUGGACUCCGCCGAGAAGAGACCAUCACGGCUACACACACGGUUGAUGUAUUUUAAUUAAGUCAAGUGACAAGUUCUCUACAACCGGACAUUAACAAAUUCCCAUCUGCCUCAUAACCGCGGGCACGGCUUUCGAAAGAUAACACCCUGCAGGGGUGUCCCAACUUAACCCAUCAUAAGCUCUCACGGUCAACGAAGGAUAAACCUUCUCCCGGGAAGACCCGAUCAGUCUCGGAAUCCCGGUUUACAAGACAUUUCGACAAUGGUAAAACAAGACCAGCAAAGCCACCCGAAUGUGCCGACAAAUCCCGAUAGGAGCUGCACAUAUCUCGUUCUCAGGGCACACCGAAUGAGCCAGACGUCGGGUUGGCAUAGACCCUGGUUGCCCAGGGGGCGCCGGACAUCGCUCGGUUUGGGCCAGCACUCGAAGGAGCACUGGUCCGGGGGGGUUAAAAUAAAGAUGACCCUCGGGCUCGCGAAAACCCAAGGGAAAAAGGCUUAGGUGGCAAAUGGUAAAACCAAGGUUGGGCCUUGCUGGAGGAGUUUUAUUCAAGGCGAACUGUCAAGGGGGUCCCAUAAAUCACCCAACCGCGUAAGGAACGCAAACUCAAGGAACAUAAUACCGGUAUGACGGAAACUAGGGCGGCAAGAGUGGAACAAAACACCAGGCAUAAGGCCGAGCCUUCCACCCUUUACCAAAUAUAUAGAUGCAUUAAUUAAAUAAGAGAUAUUGUGAUAUUCCAAAAUAUCCAUGUUCCAACAUGGAACCAACUUCAACUUCACCUGCAACUAGCAACGCUAUAAGAAGGGCUGAGCAAAAGCGGUAACUUAGCCAAACAACGGUUUGCUAGGAAAGGAUGGUUAGAGGCUUGACAUGGCAAAUAUGGGAGGCAUGAUAUAGCAAGUGGUAGGUAGCGCAGCAUAGCAAUAGAACGAACAACUAGCAAAGCAAAGAUAGAAGUGAUUUCGAGGGUAUGGUCAUCUUGCCUGCAAGGUUCUUAGAGUUGUCGAAAGCUUGAUCCUCGUAAGCGUACUCAACAGGUUCCUCAUGCAUGAACUCGUCUCCCGGCUCUACCCACAACAAGAACAAAAGCAAUGGAACCACAAUCAAUCACGGGAAAUGCACAAGCAACAUGAUGCAAAACAUGCAUGAUAUGCGAGAUAUGAUAUGCGAUGCAUAUGCGUGCUCCGGAAGAAAGGAAUGAACAAGGCAGUAACUUGGCAAAACAAGUAUGCCACUGGACAGAUGAGAUGAUUUUGGUCGAAAUCGAUAUAAAGAUCACCGGAAACGGAUGCACGGUUUGCAAAUGACAAGCAAAACAAGAAUGACACGAUUCUGCGAUUAACAGCAUGAUAGCACUUAGAAUGCAACAAGUAACUAUGCUACGGCACCCCAACAUAGCAACAAAGCAUAUGGCAGUAAUCUACAGGAGAUGCUUGAAAAAGAUGAACACUGAGCUACGUCUAGAUCACAUCAUAACAGGUUCAAACAAGCACGAAACGGAGCAGUAUGCACGGAGUUAUGAUGCGAUGAACAUGAGCACAUAAAGUGAAAUAUACGGGACUUGGGAGAAUUUCGGGGGAGGGGAGAAGUCAACCUUCGAACGAGAUCUGGAUCGGGCGCGGCUCGAGCUCGCCGGAGCUCGCGCUGGAGUUGGAGACGUUUAUGUUGCAGGAUCAGUUUAACAUGAAUAAAUCCAAAUUAAACUGGGGGCUAAUGUCGGGGAUAUACCCCGUGGUAUGACCCGGCCGGAAGUAUGACCCGGUCGGACUUGUCGCUUCACCGUGGACCCGCCGGAGGACUGACGACUCACGAGCCUGACGAUUCAUGGAUGGCCCCGAUGGCGGGUCAGAUAGAAGACAAGUCCCAAGGCCCAGAAGGCCGGCUCACGUUUAUGAUGGGCCGGCUUAAGACGGAAGGCAUGAGGAAUAUUUCCUUUACAAGGAAAUAUUCCCGUACUUGUAUACGACUUGUAAUAGAGAAUAAGUUAGUUCUAAUCCUACUAGGACUCUACAUGUAAAGCCGCCUCUCCAACUUAUAUAAGGAGGGGCAGGGCACCCCAAAGAGGAACAAGAAACAAUCUCUAGGGCUAGACACCGAGAGCCGGUUCCCGGCGACUCUCCCGUCAUCAUAAUGAGACCUAGCCUCAAACAGCAUGUAGGGUUGUUACCGGAUGAUGUUUCCCGGGGCCCGAAGCUGUCUAAAUCCUCGUCUUAUGUUGCGUCUCUCGAUUCCGCUCAGCCCCUCUCAAGCUACCACAUAGAUGCGUUGGCCUCGCGACUAAGUCCUGACACCAAGGACAUCUGCCGUGACAAAUCUACGACAAAUCUCGAAUGGGGCCUUGCCCGAACUCGCUUGGAAGCUGUUGUUGUAGGAGAAUUCGGCAUAUGGAAGACAAUCUUCCCAUUUCAUGCCAAAGGAAAUGACACAAGCCCUGAGCAUAUCUUCAAGAAUUUGAUUGACUCGCUCGACUUGGCCACUAGUUUGAGGAUGGAAAGCUAUGCUGAAGCGAAUGUUUGUGCCCAUGGCCUUCUGGAAGGAGUUCCAGAACUUAGAAGUGAAGAUGCUUCCAUGAUCUGAAGAAAUCAAUUGUGGAAUGCCGUGCAAAGAGACAAUCCUGGAGGUGUAUAGCUCUGCCAACUGAGCUGCUGUGAUAGAUUCUUUGAUUGGAAGGAAAUGAGCCACUUUUGUAAGCUUGUCAAUGGCAACGAAGAUAGCAUCAUUUCCACGCUUGGACUUGGGAAAUCCAAUCACGAAGUCCAUUUCGAUAUGAUCAAACUUCCAUUCUGGGAUAGCAAGAGGUUGGAGGAGACCAGCUGGUCGUUGGUGUUCUGCUUUCACCCUUCGACAGACAUCACAUUCAUUCACGAAUUGAGUGAUUUCUCGCUUCAUUCGAGUCCACCAAUACGACUGCUUGAGGUCAUGGUACAUGUUCGUACUUCCAGGAUGAAUGGAAAGAAGAGAAUUGUGCGCCUCGUUCAUAAUGACUUUCCUUAGAUCACCUUUAGGAACCACAAUCCGGUCCUCGAAGAAUAAAGUGUCUCUGUCAUCAAUGCGAUAGCACUUGUAUUUGGAAAGACCCUUGUCGAUACCACGUUUCACCUUCUUCACCAUGGCAUCAAGAAGUUGUGCCUCAUGAAUUUGAUCUUCCAAAGUAGGAGAGACUAUUAGGUUUGCAAGAAAGCCUUGAGGAACAACUUGGAGAUUCAGCUUGCGGAAAGCUUCACAAAGAUCCGGUCGGAAUGGCUUGAGAAUUAGGCUGUUGCAAUAAGCCUUCCUGCUCAAAGCAUCUGCAAUGACAUUGGCUUUUCCUGGAGUAUAUUCAAUACUCGGAUUGUACUCUUGAAUCAUUUCAACCCAUCGAGUCUGUCGGAGGUUGAGGUUGGGCUGAGUGAAGAUGUACUUGAGACUCUUGUGAUCGGUGAAUAUGUCCACUUUUCUUCCCAACAAGAGAUGUCUCCAUGUGAUUAAUGCAUGGACAACUGCCGCCAACUCAAGAUCGUGAGUGGGGUAGUUCUUUUUGUUGGGCUUCAACUGAUGAGAGGUAUAGGCCACAACUUUCUUCUCUUGCAUUAACACAGCACCGAGACCUUGAAGAGAAGCAUCACAGAAAACUUUGAAUGGCUUGGAUUCGUCAGGUGGAGUUAAGACAGGAGCUGUGACGAGUUUCUCUUUGAGAGUGAUGAAAGCAACAUCACACUCAGGAGUCCAAACAUACUUCACAUGCUUCUGAAGGAGGUUGGAAAGAGGCUUUGCAAUCUUAGAGAAAUUCUCAACGAAUCUUCGGCAAUAGCUUGCAAGACCAAGAAAACUGCGAAGCUGCUUGACAUUCUGAGGAGGUACCCAAUUCACAAUUGUAGACACCUUCUCGGGAUUAACAGCGAUGCCCUUGGCAGAGAUGAUAUGACCAAGGUAAAGAACUUCAUCAAGCCAAAACUCACAUUUUGAAAACUUCGCAUAGAAUUGAUACUCUCUGAGCUUGUCGAGCACCAAUCGCAAAUGUUUGGCAUGAUCCUUCUUAUUCUUGGAGAAGACCAAGAUAUCAUCGAGAUACACUAGGACGAGUUCAUUGGUAUAGGGGUUGAAGAUGAAAUUCAUCAUUCGAGAGAAUGUUGGAGGAGCAUUGACAAGGCCGAAAGACAUGACAGUAUAUUCAUAAGAACCAAAGCUUGUUCUGAAAGCUGUCUUGGGAAUAUCUUCUUCACGAAUGCAAAUAUGAUGAUAACCCAUACGAAGGUCAAUCUUGGAGAAUACUUUAGCACCUUUAAGUUGCUCGAAUAGUUCAUUGAUGUUGGGAAGUGGAUACUUGUUCUUGAUUGUCUUCUUGUUCAAUGGACGGUAGUCGACACAAAGUCUGUCUGUGCCAUCCUUCUUCUAGACAAAAAGAACACCACAACCCCAUGGAGAUGAACUCGGUCUGAUCAAACCCAGACGCUCUUGUUCAUCGAGCUAUUUCUUCAAUUCCUUCAGCUCCUUGGGUCCAAGCUUAUAAGGACGCUUGCAAACGGGUUCAAUGCCAGGCUCAAGAUCGAUAACGAACUCAACUGGCCGGUGAGGAGGCAUACCCGGAAGCUCUUCUGGAAAGACAUCUUGGUACUCACAAACGACUAGAAUCUGAGAGAUGGCAUUCAACUCGCCCUUCUCAUUGAGUGAAAAUAACCGAAUGGUUUCAUCACGAGUGGCAUAGAUAAUCACAUCCUUAGAAGAGUGUGUCAAUUGAAUUUCCCUGGGAGCACAAUCAGGUUGAGCCUUGUGCUUAGAAAGCCAGUCCAUCCCGAGAAUAAGAUCAAUAUCUGAGUCACCAAGGACAAUUGGAGAAGACAGAAAUUUAUAAUCGCCCAUCUUGAUGGAAACAUCCGGAACCACCAAACUAGAACUCAAAGGUUUACCCGGAGAAACGCAUCCAUGGGUUUACCCAAAUGUGAACAAGUGAAUUCAUGCUUGGCAAAAAACGGUCUUGAAAUGAAACAAAGCGAAGCACCAGUGUCAAAUAAGACUUUUGCAGGAAUAUCAUUAACUGAGAGAUUACCCAUUAUCACAUCAGUAGAUUCCUCCGCUUGAGCUGCAUUCAUCAUGUUCACCUUUGCAGACUUGGGAUUAUGCUUGACCACUGCAUUGCUGGAAGAUCUCACAGGAGGAGGAGGCGGAAGACGCCUUUUGUCGGGGAUAUACCCCGCGGUAUGACCCGGCCGGGAGUAUGACCCGGCCGGACAUGGCGCUUCAUCAUAACCCGGCGGAGGAUUGGCGACUCAUGAGCCUGGCGACUUAAUGAUGGCCCCGACGGCGGGUCAGACAGAAGAGUAGGCCCAAGGCCCAGAAGGCCGGCUCAUGUUAUGGUGGGCCGGUUUAUGAGGAAAGGCAUAAGGAAUAUUCUCCUACCAAGGAAGCAAGACCCGGACUUGUAUUCAACUUGCAAGAAAAGAUAGACUAGUCUUAGUCCUACUAGGACUCCGCAUGUAACCCGCCCCUCUAACUUAUAUAAGGAGGGGCAGGGCACCCCAAAGAGGGACGGACAAGACAAGAAACAAUCUCUAGGGCUAAACACUGAGAGCCGGUUCCCGGCGACUCUCCCGUGAUCAUAAUGAGACCUAGCCUCAAACAGGAUGUAGGGUUGUUACCGGAUGAUGUUUCCCGGGGCCCGAAGCUGUCUAAAUCCUUGUCUUCUGUUGCGUCUCUCGAUUCCGCUCAACCCCUCUCAAGCUACCACAUAGAUGUGUUGGCCUCGCGACUAAGUCCUGACACUAAGGACAUCUGCCGUGACAAUUCCACGACAGUUGGCGCCCACCGUGGGGCCUGCGCACGGUGGUGUUGAGUUCUUGGAGGGAUCUAUUUCAGGGAUCAAGAAGCUCGCGGUACGGAUGAAGAACUAGCGUGGAGCAACAGUAUGGCAAAGCCAUGACCGGGUUAAUUAAAUUUGAUGGUCAACUUUGGAGCGGGCCGUAUGAAUUUUGAGUUCAAAACAAAUUAGGGUUUGGAUUUCUGCUGUGCGCCGCUGACGCAAAGUGAUCCGUCGAAUCCGGUCAAUCAACAAGUGCGUGUGCAGGCAAGGGUCAAGACCCCGAGGUGGUUUCGUAAAGUGAUCUACUACUUUGAUUAUGCUGCUAUUUUCAUGGAGGCAAUACUACUAUAGCAAGACUCAGCGGCGGUUAUUCAUAUAAAGGGAUCCAUCCAUUGAUCCAUCAACACAAGAAGAAAAGUCAAACCAACAACAAAUCAGAGAACCCGGGUAGGCAUUGGACUCCAAUUCCGCUUCCGCCGGCUGGCAUCGCCGCUACGGUCCACCUCCGCCGGCUCGCUUCUGCCAUGGCCCGCCUCUGCUGCUAUUUUUUCUGGUGUCAGGACCAAGUCAAAUCUGAAAUACGUGAUGAAGGGAAUACUACUCCAUUGCUACUAUCUGCAUAAAGUGAUCCAUCUAGUACUCGGAUACUUCCCAUGUUAACGCUCAAACUUUGAGGAGGCAAUCUGUACAAAAAAAGAAAAAUAGCAUUGUUUGGCUUACGUGUACAUGCAUGUCGGGCAAGGACUCCAACACCUGAUCGGAUUGACAAAAUCAACGCCAAAACGGUCACUUGGCCAGCUCUGCACCUUGCCUCUGAACCGUGGUAACACACACCACGUACCGGUUCUACUGCUCCUCCGUGUGACUCUGCGAUCGCGCCGGGUCAAGCCGGCCUCCCUUGCAGGCCGCGCCUUCGCCGUCGCACCUUGAGCUGCCGCCUGCCUCUACUCUGCGGCCUCACGCCGAGCCGACCGCCGUUGAGCCGCACCUGCAAGCUGCCCUUGCCGUGAGGCCAAGUCGGCGCCGUCCACUACCACCGCUGGGGCCUCGUCUUGUCAGGCUCACCUUUGAGUCACUAUCUGCCGCUGUCGCAGGGCCAUCGGGCGCCGGCCGCUUCGAGUCGCCGGCCGCCUUGCAUCUCCUCAUCGGGACGUUUUGUUGCUCUGAGCCGCCGGCCUCGCCUCUAUCUGCUGCCGAAAGCCGGUUACGCCUCUAUCUGUGAGCCGCACCAUGUUUUUAGUCGUCAUCUCGACCCGCAAACACACAACCAGCCCGACUGGUCAACCCAUUGCGCCAACACCCAGAGGUCCAGGGAUCUAUUCCGGUGAGCAUUCACCGCGCUGGUCCUAACGUCGAGCCGGCCUGGCCCUGAGCCUCCCCGGCCCCGCUCUGCUUCACCUCCUCCGACUGCGCUUUGAGUCGCCAGCCGCCUCUCCCACUGGCAGUCUGCACCACAAGUCGCUGGAUGCCAGACUAAAGAAAAAUACGGUUCAGGAACCAUCCGGUGAUGUGCCUCGCCGGAGAGCUUCUGUGACUUACCGCUGCCACUCCGAGAGUCGCCGCCUUCGCCGUCUCAGACGCGCUGCCGUUGCAGCUUUUGAGCCGCCGCCAUGGUGAUGCCUCCGUUUCGCUGUUGUGUUGAGCCGCCUGGGCCGCCUCUACUCAGUUAGCCGCUCCUAUUGCUGUUAUCUUCGUUGACGUGGAGAUUGUGAACGGAGAAACAAACAGAGAUAAGCUACAUGUACAAGUGCAGAAGCUACAUCCUGGAGCGUUGUGAGCAUUCACGUGAAAAGGAAAUGCAUGCAUGCAUAAUUAUUUUGAAGACCACGCUGCCGACUCAACCGGAGCACAAGUCCCGGCGAUUUGUGUUGGCAGUCUAAAAAGUAUUGCCGAGCACUACCACAACUCUGUGCAAGAAUUCUAUGUACAGAUCAUCAGUCAUUCGAAGACAUCAGGUGAUAUCCAUUUAAGUUUGUUUUAUUAGCAUAUAUUGUUUUUUGUCAGAAAAAACAGUUUAUUUUUGCCUUGGUCUGCAAUAUUGUUGAUGCAGGACAAUUGUUCACUACAUCAACACGACGUGGCUGACUUACCCAUCCGCGCGGCUUACAACACCUGCGAUUGACUCGCCCGUCCGCUCGGUUUACCGCGCCGGCGAUCGAUUCGCCCGUCCGGACCGGCUUACAACACCACGGCCGGCUCAUCUGUCUGUGCCGCCUCUGAUGCAACAGUCGUCUUUACCAUCCGUCUCUUGCGGGUUGGUCUAUAUAAACACAAUGGGCCGCACCUGUAUGCAUGAGCUGUUUAUUGAAUAUGAGCGAGUCACUGCUUGGGAAGCCCGGUUUUCUUCCAACAAAUUGGAGGCGAAUUAUCAUGUAUUAUUAGCCGCCAUCUCCACUGGAUGUUUCAAUGGGCAGGCGCACAAGUCGCCGCCACUACAGUUUGGUUAACUUCAAAACAUCCGGUUGGAAGGAACCAUUGGCCGAGUUGCUGACACGGCUCAUACGGGAUCAUUUAUAACCCGCCGCAGUCACUUCAACCUUCUGUGGAUUCACAUCGCGCUAUCAACACCAAUGAUAUACACCUUAUGCUAUGGUCAAUAUGGAGAAUCUCAAAGCCAACUCCUCGAGUCGUCUUGAGACUCGGGGGCUACAAUGAUAUGUCUCGGCAGCAUUGGUCUGUUUCAAUGCAUUCAAGAACUCCGGGUCAUUGGAGGGAAAAAUAAUCCGGUCCCGGAGGCUACCGCCAUAUUGGUGAAAUUUUAAAGGCCGUCAGAAAAAUUUCCAGCUUAAAAAGAAGGAUUCCGGUUUAGAUCCGGCUCAAGAGACUUGACAUCUCCCACAAAGCACUGAAGCUCUUAAAUAUCCGGUUUAAAAUCCGGUUCAAGGGAAAUUUAUCUGCCACAAAGUUUUGAAGCUCUCAAAUCCGGUUCAAAAUCCGGUUCAAGGUAAAUUUGUUUAUCACAAAACUUUGAAACUCUCAAUAUCCGGUUUAAGAAUUUCUGGUUCAAAAAGAAUUUAUCUCUCGCAAAGUUCGAAUUCUCAGGAAAAAUUAAAGGGACCAAAGAGAGUCGGUUACAAAGCACAACUCAAACAUAGGUACCCUGGUUUAGUGGCCAUUGGGAGCUGAUCGUAUUCGAAUUUAGCUUAACCCUUUUGGUGUGACCCUGAUCGUAUUCGAAUCUGAGUCGUUAAAUAUUCUCAUGAUCACUAGGGGGCUUCCUGUUCAAACAUAGGUCGUAUUCGAACCAAAGAGAACAUAGCUGUCGGUACCCUUUUGAUUGGCACACUGCCGAGCUCACUAGGGGGCUUCUUGAUCGUAUUCGAAUCGUAGCUCAACCCCUUUUGGGAACCGACGUGGAUCGUAUUCGAAUCAACGUUGUUAAACAAUUCUCAAGGUCAUUUGGGGGCUUCCUGUUCAAACAUAGGUCGUAUUCAAACCAAAGAGAACAUAGCUGUCGGUACCCUCUUGAUCGGCAACGCCAAAGCCACUGGGGGCUAUAUGAUCAUAUUCGAAUCUUAGCUUAACCCCCUUGGGACGGUUUUCUGAUCGUAUUCGAAUCAGAAGCCUCAAAAUUUUUGAAGUCUCUUUUUGCAAACAAUUUUUGGAUUUUAUUUGAAGCUCUUUUUCAUAUAUAAAGUGUAUAUGAGUGGUUGUAUUUAACCCGGCUUGAUUUUCGAUGAUAAAUCGCCAGCUUAUGACAAUCAUCAUCUAUGUGGAAGCAUUGGCUUCUAAGGAUUGGGUUAUCACCCUUACUUCACAGGUCACAUAAACCGGCAGUGAAAAUUCAAUAUCACAGGUAUAAUAUUAUUAUUAUAGUUAUGUUUCAAAGUUAUGAUUCAUAACAGGCUUAUCUGUGACUCCUUGUUACACAUCAAUGGUUAUAUGUGAGAUAUUAUGACCCGCCCUGCGGUAAACCACCAAGGGAUCUUGUGAUCUAAUUAUGUGCAGGAUAAGACUACAUUUGGGUGGUUACCCGCCCUGGUUUUUGACGUUAAGUCGCCAGGGCAUAUGUUGUUUAAACUCUGCAGGAUUUACAGAGCUAUGACUUACAUAAAUGAUUAAAUUCAAGCCCAUCAUCAUACAUUGAAAUUGGUGUCUCAAAAGGGUUAUCAAUUCUUGAUUUUCUCAAAGGCUAUAAGCCGCCGGGUUGUACAAAUUCCGGCUUACAAUGGAGGCGUAUUAAAUCGCCAUCGGCCAAGAGCCGCCGGGUAUAUAAACUCCAGAUUGACUUAUCAGCAGAUGAGGUAUUCAAAGUCGCUUUGGCGCAAUGGCUAUUAUUUUAUCAAUGGAUAUGAUUUAUUCUACAAUGGAAAGAAUAGUCCCGAGUCGCUGCAGGCUUACGACCCGGUACUUGGGGGCUACAUUAUUUGAAUUGAGAUCACAUCAAAUAUGCAAGUCCCAUGUGUUGGAAAUAUGCCCUAGAGGCAAUAAUAAAUGGUUAUUAUUAUAUUUCUUUGUUCAUGGUAAUUGUCUAUUGUUCAUGCUAUAAUUGUGUUAUCCGGAAAUCGUAAUGCAUGUGUGAAUACAUGGACCACAACGUGUCCCUAGUAAGCCUCUAGUUGACUAGCUCGUUGAUCAACAGAUAGUCAUGGUUUCCUGACUAUGGACAUUGGAUGUCAUUGAUAACGGGAUCACAUCAUUAGGAGAAUGAUGUGAUGGACAAGACCCAAUCCUAAGCAUAGCUCAAAGAUCGUGUAGUUCGUUUGCUAGAGCUUUUCCAAUGUCAAGUAUCUUCUCCUUAGACCAUGAGAUCGUGCAACUCCCGGAUACCGUAGGAGUACUUUGGGUGUGCCAAACAUCACAACGUAACUGGGUGACUAUAAAGGUACACUACGGGUAUCUCCGAAAGUGUCUGUUGGGUUGGCACGGAUCGGGACUAGGAUUUGUCCCUCCGUAUGACGGAGAGAUAUCUCUGGGCCCACUCGGUAAUGCAUCAUCAUAAUGAGCUCAAUGUGACUAAGGAGUUAGUCACGGGAUCAUGCAUUGCGGUACGAGUAAAGAGACUUGCCGGUAACGAGAUUGAACAAGGUAUUGGGAUACCGACGAUCGAAUCUCGGGCAAGUAACAUACCGAUUGACAAAGGGAAUUGUAUACGGGAUUGAUUGAAUCCUUGACAUCGUGGUUCAUCCGUGAGAUCAUCGUGGAACAUGUGGGAGCCAACAUGGGUAUCCAGAUCCCGCUGUUGGUUAUUGACCGGAGAGGCGUCUCGGUCAUGUCUGCAUGUCUCCCGAACCCGUAGGGUCUACACACUUAAGGUUCGGUGACGCUAGGGUUGUAGAGAUAUGAGUAUGCGGAAACCCGAAAGUUGUUCGGAGUCGCGGAUGAGAUCCCGGACGUCACGAGGAGUUCCGGAAUGGUUCGGAGGUGAAGAAUUAUAUAUAGGAAGUCAAGUUUCGGCCACCGGGAAAGUUUCGGGGGUCACCAGUAUUGUACCGGGACCACCGGAAGGGUCCCGGGGGUCCACCGGGUGGGGCCACCUAUCCCGGAGGGCCCCAUGGGCUGAAGUGGGAAGGGAACCAGCCCUUAGUGGGCUGGGGCGCCCCCCAUGGGCCUUCCCCCUGUGCCUAGGGUUGGAAACCCUAGGGUGGGGGGGCGCCCCACUUGCCUUGGGGGGCAAGUCUCCCCCUGGCCGCCGCCCCCCAUGCAGAUGGGUCUUGGCCGGCGCCCCUCCUCCCAGGGGGCCUAUAUAAAGGGGGGAGGGAGGGCAGCAGUGCUACAGCCUUUGGCGCCUCCCUCCUCCCCUGCAACACCUCUCCCUCUCGCAGAAGCUCGGCGAAGCCCUGCCGAGAUCCCGCUACAUCCACCACCACGCCGUCGUGCUGCUGGAUCUCCAUCAACCUCUCCUUCCCCCUUGCUGGAUCAAGAAGGAGGAGACGUCGCUGCUCCGUACGUGUGUUGAAUGCGGAGGUGCCGUCCGUUCGGCACUCGGUCAUCGGUGAUUUGGAUCACGACGAGUACGACUCCAUCAACCUCGUUCAUUGGAACGCUUCCGCUCGCGAUCUACAAGGGUAUGUAGAUGCACUCCUUUCCCCUCGUUGCUAGUAUACUCCAUAGAUGGAUCUUGGUGAGCGUCGGAAAAUUUUAAAAUUCUGCUACGAUCCCCAAUAGUGGCAUCAUGAGCCAGGCCUAUGCGUAGUUACUAUGCACGAGUAGAACACAAAGCAGUUGUGGGCGUAGAUGUUGCCAAUUCUUCUUGCCGCUACUAGUCUUAUCUUGUUUCGGCGGUAUUGUGGGAUGAAGCGGCCCGGACCGACCUUACACGUACGCUUACGUGAGACAGGUUCCACCGACUGACAUGCACUAGUUGCAUAAGGUGGCUAGCGGGUGUCUGUCUCUCCCACUUUAGUCGGAACGGAUUCGAUGAAAAGGGUCCUUAUGAAGGGUAAAUAGAAAUUGGCACAUCACGUUGUGGUUUUACGUAGGUAAGAAACGUUCUUGCUAGAAACCUAUUCAAGCCACGUAAAAAAAUUGCAACAACAAUUAGAGGACGUCUAACUUGUUUUUGCAGCAUGUGCUAUGUGAUGUGAUAUGGCUAGAAGAUGUGAUGAAUGAUAUAUGUGAUGUAUGAGAUUGAUCAUAUUCUUGUAAUAGGAAUCACGACUUGCAUGUCGAUGAGUAUGACAACCGGCAGGAGCCAUAGGAGUUGUCUAUUAUUUUGUAUGACCUGCGUGUCAUUGAAUAACGCCAUGUAAAUUACUUUACUUUAUUGCUAAACGUGUUAGCCGUAGAAGUAGAAGUAAUCGUUGGCGUGACAACUUCAUGAAGACACAAUGAUGGAGAUCAUGAUGAUGGAGAUCAUGGUGUCAUGCCGGUGACGAAGAUGAUCAUGGUGCCCCGAAGAUGGAGAUCAAAGGAGCAAAAUGAUAUUGGCCAUAUCAUGUCACUAUUUGAUUGCAUGUGAUGUUUAUCAUGUUUUGCAUCUUAUUUGCUUAGAACGACGGUAGUAAGUAUGAUGAUCCCUUAUAAUAAUUUCAAGAAAGUGUUCGCCCUAACUGUGCACCGUUGCGAAGGUUCGUUGUUUCGAAGCACCACGUGAUGAUCGGGUGUGAUAGAUUCUAACGUUCGCAUACAACGGGUGUUGACGAGCCUAGCAUGUACAGACAUGGCCUCGGAACACACGCAAUACACUUAGGUUGACUUGACGAGCCUAGCAUGUACAGACAUGGCCUUGGAACACGGAGGACCGAAAGGUCGAGCAUGAGUCGUAUAGAAGAUACGAUCAACAUGGAGAUGUUCACCGAUCUUGACUAGUCCGUCUCACGUGAUGAUCGGACACGGCCUAGUUAACUCGGAUCAUGUUUGACUUAGAUGACUAGAGGGAUGUCUAUCUGAGUGGGAGUUCAUUGAAUAAUUUGAUUAUAUGAACUUAAUUAUCAUGAACUUAGUCUAAAAUCUUUACAAUAUGUCUUGUAGAUCAAAUGGCCCACGUUGUCCUCAACUUCGAUGCGUUCCUAGAGAAAACCAAGCUGAAAGAUGAUGGCAGCAACUAUACGGACUGGGUCCGGAACCUGAGGAUCAUCCUCAUAGCAGCCAAGAAAGAUUAUGUCCUAGAAGCACCGCUAGGUGAAGCACCAAUCCCAGAGAACCAAGACGUUAUGAACGCUUGGCAAUCACGUGCUGAUGAUUACUCCCUCGUUCAGUGCGGCAUGCUUUACAGCUUAGAACCGGGGCUCCAAAAGCCUUUUGAGAAGCAUGGAGCAUAUGAGAUGUUCGAAGAGCUGAAAAUGGUUUUCCAAGCUCAUGCCCGGGUCGAGAGAUAUGAAGUCUCCGACAAGUUCUUCAGCUGUAAAAUGGAGGAGAAUAGUUCUGUUAGUGAGCACAUACUCAGAAUGUCUGGGUUACACAACCGCUUGUCCCAGCUGGGAGUUAAUCUCCCGGAUGACGCGGUCAUUGACAGAAUCCUUCAGUCGCUUCCACCAAGCUACAAGAGCUUUGUGAUGAACUUCAAUAUGCAGGGGAUGGAAAAGACCAUUCCUGAGGUAUAUUCGAUGCUGAAAUCAGCGGAGGUGGAGAUCAGAAAAGAACAUCAAGUGUUGAUGGUGAAUAAAACCACUAAGUUCAAGAAGGGCAAGGGUAAGAAGAACUUCAAGACGGACGGCAAGGGAGUUGCCGCGCCCGGUAAGCCAGUUGCCGGGAAGAAGUCAAAGAAUGGACCCAAGCCUGAGACUGAGUGCUUUUAUUGCAAGGGAAGUGGUCACUGGAAGCGGAACUGCCCCAAAUACUUAGCGGACAAGAAGGCCGGCAACACCAAAGGUAUAUGUGAUAUACAUGUAAUUGAUGUCUACCUUACCAGUACUCAUAGUAGCUCCUGGGUAUUUGAUACCGGUGCGGUUGCUCAUAUUUGUAACUCAAAACAGGAACUGCGGAAUAAACGGAGACUGGCAAAGGAUGAGGUGACGAUGCGCAUCGGGAAUGGUUCCAAGGUCGAUGUGAUCGCCGUCGGCACGCUACCUAUGCAUCUACCUACGGGAUUAGUUUUAAACCUCAAUAAUUGUUAUUUAGUGUCAGCUUUGAGCAUGAACAUUGUAUCUGGAUCUCGUUUAAUUCGAGAUGGCUACUCAUUUAAAUCCGAGAAUAAUGGUUGUUCUAUUUAUUUGAGAGAUAUGUUUUAUGGUCAUGCCCCGCUGGUCAAUGGUUUAUUCUUGAUGAAUCUUGAACGUGAUGUUACACAUAUUCAUAGUGUGAAUACCAAAAGAUGUAAAGUUGAUAACGAUAGUCCCACAUACUUGUGGCACUGCCGCCUUGGUCACAUUGGUGUCAAGCGCAUGAAGAAGCUCCAUGCAGAUGGACUUUUGGAGUCUCUUGAUUACGAAUCAUUUGACACGUGCGAACCAUGCCUCAUGGGUAAGAUGACCAAGACUCCGUUCUCCGGAACAAUGGAGCGAGCAACCAACUUAUUGGAAAUCAUACAUACCGAUGUGUGCGGUCCAAUGAGUGUUGAGGCUCGCGGAGGAUAUCGUUAUGUUCUCACUCUCACUGAUGAUUUAAGUAGAUAUGGGUAUGUCUACCUAAUGAAACACAAGUCUGAAACCUUUGAAAAGUUCAAGGAAUUUCAGAGUGAGGUUGAGAAUCAACGUGACAGAAAAAUAAAAUUCUUACGAUCAGAUCGUGGUGGAGAAUAUUUAAGUCACGAAUUUGGUGCGCACUUAAGGAAAUGUGGAAUCGUUUCACAACUCACGCCGCCUGGAACACCUUAGCGAAACGGUGUGUCCGAACGUCGUAAUCGCACUCUAUUGGAUAUGGUGCGAUCUAUGAUGUCUCUUACCGAUUUACCGCUCUCAUUUUGGGGCUAUGCUUUAGAGACUGCCGCAUUCACUUUAAAUAGGGCUCCGUCGAAAUCCGUUAAGACGACACCGUAUGAAUUAUGGUUUGGGAAGAAACCUAAGUUGUCAUUUCUAAAAGUUUGGGGAUGCGAUGCUUAUGUCAAGAAACUUCAACCUGAAAAGCUCGAACCCAAGUCGGAGAAAUGCGUCUUCAUAGGAUACCCUAAGGAAACUAUUGGGUAUACCUUCUACCUCAGAUCCGAAGGCAAGAUCUUCGUUGCCAAGAACGGGUCCUUUCUGGAGAAAGAGUUUCUCUCGAAGGAAGUAAGUGGGAGGAAAGUGGAACUUGAUGAGGUGAUAGUCACCCCUUCCGUACCGGAAAGUAGCGCAGCGCGGGAAGAUGUUCCUGUGGUGCCUACACCGACUGGGGAGGAAGUUAAUGAUGAUGAUCAUGAAGCUUCGGAUCAAGUUACUACUGAACUUCGUAGGUCCACAAGGACACGUUCCGCACCAGAGUGGUACGGCAACCCUGUCCUGGAAAUCAUGUUGUUAGACAAUGGUGAACCUUCGAACUAUGAAGAAGCGAUGGCGGGCCCGGAUUCCGACAAAUGGCUAGAAGCCAUGAAAUCCGAGAUAGGAUCCAUGUAUGAAAACGAAGUAUGGACUUUGACUGACUUGCCCGAUGAUCGGCGAGCCAUAGAAAACAAAUGGAUCUUUAAGAAGAAGACAGACGCGGAUGGUAAUGUGACCAUCUAUAAGGCUCGACUUGUCGCUAAGGGUUAUCGAGAAGUUCAAGGGGUUGACUACAAUGAGACUUUCUCACCCGUAGCGAAGCUGAUGUCCGUCCGAAUCAUGUUAGCAAUUGCCGCAUACUAUGAUUAUGAGAUAUGGCAGAUGGACGUCAAAACGGCAUUCCUUAAUGGCUUCCUUAAGGAAGAAUUGUAUAUGAUGCAGCCGGAAGGUUUUGUCGAUCCUAAGAAUGCUAACAAAGUAUGCAAGCUCCAGCGCUCAAUCUAUGGGCUGGUGCAAGCAUCUCGGAGUUGGAACAUUCGCUUUGAUGAGAUGAUCAAAGCGUUUGGGUUUACACAGACUUAUGGAGAAGCCUGUGUUUACAAGAAAGUGAGUGGGAGCUCUGUAGCAUUUCUCAUAUUAUAUGUGGAUGACAUACUAUUGAUGGGAAAUGAUAUAGAAUUCUUGGAAAGUAUAAAGGCCUAUUUGAAUAAGUGUUUUUCAAUGAAGGACCUUGGAGAAGCUGCUUAUAUAUUAGGCAUCAAGAUCUAUAGAGAUAGAUCAAGACGCCUCAUUGGUCUUUCACAGAGUACAUACCUUGACAAGNNNNNNNNNNUUGACAAGAUAUUGAAGAAGUUCAAUAUGGAUCAGUCCAAGAAGGGGUUCUUGCCUGUAUUGCAAGGUGUGCAAUUGAGCACGGCUCAAUGCCCGACCAUGGCAGAAGAUAGAGAAAAGAUGAGUGUCAUCCCCUAUGCCUCGGCCAUAGGGUCUAUUAUGUAUGCCAUGCUGUGUACCAGACCUGAUGUAAACCUUGCCGUAAGUUUGGUAGGAAGGUACCAAAGUAAUCCCGGCAUGGAACACUGGACAGCGGUCAAGAAUAUCCUGAAGUACCUGAAGAGGACUAAGGAUAUGUUUCUCGUUUAUGGAGGUGACGAAGAGCUCGUCGUAAAGGGUUACGUCGACGCUAGCUUCGACACAGAUCUGGAUGACUCGAAGUCACAAACCGGAUACGUGUAUAUUUUGAAUGGAGGAGCAGUAAGCUGGUGCAGUUGCAAGCAAAGCGUCGUGGCGGGAUCUACAUGUGAAGCGGAGUACAUGGCAGCCUCGGAGGCAGCACAGGAAGCAUCUGGAUGAAGGAGUUCAUUACCGAUCUAGGGGUGAUUCCCAAUGCGUCGGGCCCGAUGACUCUCUUCUGUGACAACACUGGAGCUAUUGCCCUUGCCAAGGAGCCCAGGUUUCACAGGAAGACCAGGCAUAUCAAGCGUCGCUUCAACUCCAUUCGUGAAAGUGUUCAAAAUGGAGACAUAGAUAUUUGUAAAGUACAUACGGACCUGAAUGUAGCAGAUCCGUUCACUAAACCUCUCCCUAGAGCAAAACAUGAUCAACACCAGGACGCAAUGGGUGUUCGAUUCAUCACAAUGUAACUAGAUUAUUGACUCUAGUGCAAGUGGGAGACUGUUGGAAAUAUGCCCUAGAGGCAAUAAUAAAUGGUUAUUAUUAUAUUUCUUUGUUCAUGGUAAUCGCCUAUUGUUCAUGCUAUAAUUGUGUUAUCCGGAAAUCGUAAUGCAUGUGUGAAUACAUAGACCACAACGUGUCCCUAGUAAGCCUCUAGUUGACUAGCUCGUUGAUCAACAGAUAGUCAUGGUUUCCUGACUAUGGACAUUGGAUGUCAUUGAUAACGGGAUCACAUCAUUAGGAGAAUGAUGUGAUGGACAAGACCCAAUCCUAAGCAUAGCUCAAAGAUCGUGUAGUUCGUUUGCUAGAGCUUUUCCAAUGUCAAGUAUCUUCUCCUUAGACCAUGAGAUCGUGCAACUCCCGAAUACCGUAGGAGUACUUUGGGUGUGCCAAACGUCACAACGUAACUGGGUGACUAUAAAGGUACACUACGGGUAUCUCCGAAAGUGUCUGUUGGGUUGGCACGGAUCGAGACUGGGAUUUGUCACUCCGUAUGACGGAGAGGUAUCUCUGGGCCCACUCGGUAAUGCUUCAUCAUAAUGAGCUCAAUGUGACUAAGGAGUUAGUCACGGUGUCGUGGAAUUGUCACGGCAGAUGUCCUCAAGCUAGGACUUAGUCGUGGAGCCAUCGCCGCUAGGAAGCUUGAAGGGGUUAACGGGACAAGGAACACGAGGGUUUAUACUGGUUCGGCCCCUUACGGUGAAGGUAAAAGCCUACGUCCAGUUGAGGUGGUAUUGAUUAGGGUUUCGAUGACCAGGGAGCUUAACUGCUAUGCCCGGCUCUCGAUGAGAUCUUUCUUGCCCCUAAACCGCUGCCGGGUCGUCCCUUUAUAUAGGGAGGCUGACGCCCAGCAGCUCUCAGAGUCCCGACCGGCUCAUAAGAGUGUCCGGCUCGGACUCUCAACUACUCUUGCCUUACACUACAAGUUCUACCAUAAUGAUGAUUGUAACUACGGGUCUUAAGCCAAAUCCGGGUCUUAAGCCCAUCUUUGGCCCACCUUCUUCAAGCUUGGCGCCGGGCUUCUGGCGAUGACCAUUAUGAGUAACCCGGCCCCUCCUGGCGGGUGACUCUAAGGUCUAUAUCCUCAACAUUAGGCCCCAGAUUGAUUUGAGCCGGCUCAUGUAAAUCUUCAAUUCUUUCGACAGAAAAUAUCCGGCUUACAAUUGUGUGAAGGCCAUAACCCAGCGUGACGUCAUCCUCUGGACUCCGGGUAAUCCGCCGUGACGUCAUCUUCCAUUAAGUCCAUUUUUUACUCCACCAGAUCCGCAACGGAUCUUAUCUUUACUGCCAUCCCGAAAAUCGAGGCGCCUCUCGGGCGAGAUAACCCCGUCGUGGCCUCCUCGUUUCUCGCGCCCACUUAUGAGACUGGCCUUAUAAAUAGCCCGACCCUCGGGUCUUUCCAUUCUCCCCCUUCUGUCAUCCUCUUCCUCUCGCUACUCUCGCGCUGCUCGAGCUCCGCCGCCGCCGCCGCCGCAACAGAGCUCUGCGUCCUCGUCGACCUUGGCCGCUGCAUCACCCUGAUCCGUCCAGAGAAACGCGGCGAACCCUCGCAGCACACCUGCCUCCGUAAGUUCCUUCCUCCUCGUAGAACAUAUCUACGUUUAAGCUCCUGCUGUUCUUCCGUGUUCUUUGCCGUCGCCCACGAGUUCUUGGUAGUUUUUAUUUUUACUACCCUUUUUUGAUCUUAGCCUUGUAUAGAACCACUGCGGUAGCUGUUUAGCACCCAUUUCAUAUGCAAGUAAACCUCUUUUUACUGCAUAAAGGCUCCGUUCGAGCCCAAGAAUUUCCCUUGCGUCUGUUUUUAGGUCUAGAAACUUUCCUUUUAGCCGACCGUUUUGAUCCAAAUUAUUUACUGCAAUGUGUGAAACCUGUUUUCACCACACUUAGUAAAAAACUGCACCUGUUGAGUCCUGGCGGUUUACAUUUCCGGUUUAAAGAAACCACGCACCGUAGAACCUUCCGGCUCAAAGGAAACCACGCGCCGUAAAAUUUCUGGCUCACUUUCAACAAGGCUGUAGACAAUUUGAAUUACUCUCAAGCACACCAGCGGCUUAGAUAACCCGAUGCACUUAGAUAUAUGUCAUUAGGCCCCUCCAUAAGCCGCCACUUGAAAUAUUGAACUGUAAUUUUCCUCCGGCUUACAAUUAAACCGGAGAUAUUUCCCUUUUAUCAUAGGCUUCCGACUUUCACCAAGCCUCCCAAAGCUGCCAAAGCACCCAUCACUUGCAAUUGGAUGAGGUCCAACGUCACCGACGAGACCUUAGCAGACUUUGUGAAGUCGGGUUACCUACCCAAGAAGGACGUCAUGUCCUACCGUGCCCCUGACCCGUCAGAGGAGAGACCACAGCCAAAGGACGGGGAGGUAGUGAUUUUUGCGGAUCACAUGAGCCGGGGCUUCGCACCGCCCGGCUCAAAGUUCUUCACGGAUGUACUAAAUUUCUUUGACAUGCGGCCACAAGAUAUAGGACCCAACUCGGUGUCCAACAUAUGCAAUUUCCAAGUGUUCUGCGAGGUUUAUCUUGGAGAAGAGCCCAGCCUGCUGCUCUUCAGAGAGCUCUUCUACCUGAACCGCCAGAACGAGUGCGCCAACGGGCCAAGUUUGGAACUUGGCGGAAUCUCCAUUCAGCGACGGAGAGACUGCCUCUUCCCUGACGCCGAGCCGCCGAGUCACCCAAAUGACUGGAACCAGACGUGGUUCUACUGCCAAGACAUGUCGCCGGCUGACGAGAGCCCGCUGCCCGGCUUUCGCCCCUCGCGUCUGGAACCAACACACCCUUUGUCAGACAAGCUAACUCAAGCGGAGCGCCAACCUCUGCUCCCCACCAUUAACAAGAUCAAGGCUCUCCUGGGCAAUGGUCUCAAUGCAAUUGACCUGGUCCGAGUCUGGAUCUCCUGGCGGGUGAUCCCGUUGAGCCGCCGCCCCGGCUUAAUGUGUGAGUACACGGGCCGAAAGGAUGACCCCCUGAGACACAGCCGCAACGAUCUUCCUGAAGACGUUGCUGAGGACAUGACCAAGGCUCUCUUGAACGAGAGCUUGGCAGACUGCGGGAGGACCGGCUUAAGCCCCUUCUGCAAGACCAACCCGGCCCCAGUGGUAAGCCGCUGAUCUGAACAUCUUAUUCUCUUCUGUAGAUAACUUUCAUCUGAUCCUUAAGAAAUCGUCAUUGUAUUUUUCAGGUUGAUGACAAAUUCUGGAAGGUCAAAUACGACCAUGAGGCGGCCAAGAAGGCCAGGAAAGCGAAGAAAGCCGCCAAGAGAGCCGCUCCCCGCAAGAAGGGAAGUAGCCCUACUGCUUCAGAGCUGAUGCAACUAAGCGACAACUCCGAGUCAGAGGUAACCCCUGAACCUGUAAGCUCUUGUUGUAUGUCUUGUUUAUUUCUGUCCACCUUAUCAAUACCGUUCAUCAACAGGAUGACACCGGAGCAAGUAACCCGGUGGUUGAAGAGGUAAUGACACUUUCCUCUGACUCAGAGCCCUUGCCAAGGCUGAAAGUCCGAAGGGUAACCCGGAAAGUAAGAUUUUCACAUCCUUUAGCUUAUUGCGAUCCUCAAUUUCUUUUGAAGCAACAGAUUCAUGAGAACCGGCGGCACACCCGGACCAACAAGGAUGCUGACCUAUCCUCCAGCUUACCUGAGGCAUCAAGGAAGCGCCGGACCGAGGUUAUUUCCACCUUAUAUCCUUUUCAUCCUCUGGCGGGUGUUAUACGUGAACCUCUCAAUUCUUCUAAUUCAAAUUAUCAGGAAACGUCUCCUUCCUCUGGUGAUUCGAUGCAGUCAAAUCUGCCGGCCUUCAAAACCGUACCCGGGUAAUGAUGAUCAUCUCUUAUUGUGCUUAUCUUUACUCAUACCUUUGUACUAACCUUUUUGUCCUUUCAGUGCCUAGGCAAAGCUCACCAAGAGGGCGAAGAAGAACAAGCCGGUCGAAGAGCCGGACUUGCCUGAACCGGAGGUAGCAGCUCAAGAACCGCCAGUUGCCUCCGCUCCCGAAGCCACCGCUCCAACGAAGGCAACUGCAGAAGCUUCUGCUAACCCGGAGACCUCCAGCUCGGCUCAGCCGGUCAAUGACCCGGACGUGGUAAUCACCCGGACGGAGUUUGUUGAGCCGGGGAGACCUACUGCACUGGCCAAGUGCUCCGCCAAGGAGGAGUUGCUACAGCACCGCCGGGUUAAUCUGGACCUCACCGACUACACCAAUCUGAACAUCGGGGAGAUCGUCUCCGGCUAUGUCAGCCAAGUGCACAAGAGCCGGGAUAUAGAGAUCGGCAUGGUGAACCAGAUUCAGCAGAAAUCUGAGGUACUACUGUUCUUUCUUCUUACUUACUGCAUAGUUAUCUUGUUAUUCUUACCAUACUCUAGCCCCCAAGUCUACGACUUAUGAUAGAAUAUGUUGUAGACUUGAGUUCCGGCUUACUCGCUUGAACCAGCAAUUUGUAAAUAGAAACGUUCGAUAUGCAUUAGCCCCCAAGUGCCAAGUGUCUUUGCUUGGAAAGUGCUUGGGACUUUAAAAUUGCAUAAUAACUGUUCAUCCUAUAACCCGGAAAUUAUGCAGGCUGCUUGCAGGAAGCUUGAAGCUGACAUCUCCGAUCUGAAGACCCGCCUAAAGACGCAAGAAACUGAGACCCGGAAGGCCAAUGCCAAAUUUGUGUCCAGUAUUGCUGCGCAAGAAAAGCUGAAGACGGACUUUGACGCUGAACGGAAAGCCUGGGCCGAAGAGAAGGCUACGCUGGUGAACCGGACCGAACAGGCAGAGAAGGCUCUGUCAGAGAAGACCGCCGAACUCUCCGGCUUAAAGCGCCAAGUGUCCCAGAUGGUUGCCGCAAUCUUCGGUAAGUCAUUUCACCGGCUUUCAUCAAGUUUUAUAAUCUUUAUAUCUCAUAACUUAUCCUUGUCGGCGGCUUAUCUUAUUUUGUUAAACAGGUCCCAGAAGUGCCAACCUCAACCAAAGUGUGGUAACCAAGUUGAAGGCCGUGUACACCCUGGUGGAGCAGCUCUACACCGGGUCACAGCGUGCUUUGGCUGUGGUGGCCCUAUCCAAUGAGGUGCCGACUCAUCUGGCGGAAGUUCUUCGCCGGCUUGCCGUUCUUCCCCAACGUGUCCAAGAGCUGCGGCGGGCCUCUGCAAGAGCCGGAGCUAUCGCCGCUCUGAGCCGGGCCAAGGCGUUCCUUCCAGAGUUAGACCCGGCGGACAUUGCCCUCGGCUAUCCCAGUUUGAAGGAAGACGGCACACCCUUCGACCAAAGGGACUUUGCAGCCUGCGUGAAGAUCGUGCGCCAAGUGGCCACCCUCAUUGGAAACGACACAGAUCUGACCAAGUACCAGCCCGGUUACAAUGCAGAAAAUCAGAGGAUCCCCACUCCGCGUUAUGAAGCUGUCAGCUUAGUCCCGCCAGCUCGUAAGCACACCUUCGCCCCGGAGAUUGACCCGGCCGGGUUAAUUGAUGAGGAAGCUCAAUUUGAAGCUCUGAGCGGCAUUGAUUGGAAGUCGUCAACUUUCCAGGUCUUGGGAACAGCCGGAGGAGAGGAGAGGGAUGAGCCGGAGACUUCAACCCAGCAAGCAUCGUAACUCUGCCGGCGGCUUAUUAAACAAUGCUUCACCCUUUUGGACUCGAUGAGUCUUGUAAUAGAAUAGGAUCAACACUUUAACUUUGACGUGCCAUCGUGCACGCGUUGAAUGCUGAAGUCCAUUGAAGUUGUCUCCUUUAUAUUUCCCCGGGUCAUAAUCGAUUAUUCAUUUUCCUUAAUCUCAAAUAGUUGCCUUGAACUAUCCUGCAUAGAAGGACAAAUCACAAGUCUCUAGGCAGCUUACCGCACUGAGAAUCAUAGUUUUAGACAUAUAACCCGGAAUAUGAAUCAAAAGAGACUGGUCCUCAAUUAUGUCCUUGAUAUAGCCGUAAUAACACACUUACCGGCCUGCAAGCACACUUCCGGCUUAUAUAACCCGGGUAAUAAGGUUGGUACCUCAAUUCCGGUUUACCAGUCUUAAUAACACCGAUUGUAUUCAACUAGUACUAUAAAUCAAAGUUAAGCCGGCAAAGUGAGACCCGCCGUGCACACUUGAAAUAAUCAGAAGAACCCGCUAUAAAUCAGAAGAACUUAGGGGCUUCCGGUUCGAAUACGACCAGAGACCCGUCCCAAAGGGGUUAUGCUAGAAUUCGAAUGCAAUCAUAUAGCCCCCAGUGGGUGUGGCGAUGCCAAUCAAGAGGGUAUCGACAGCUAUGUUCUCUUUGGUUCGAAUACGACCCAUGUUUGAACAGGAAGCCCCCAAAUGACUUUAAGAAUUGUUUAACGACGCUGAUUCGAAUACGAUCCACGUCGGUUCUCAAAGAGGUUAAACUAUGAUUCAAAUAUGAUCAAAGAAAACUCCCCAAUGAGCUCGGCACUUUGCCAAUCAAAUGGGUAUCAACAGCUAUGUUCUCUUUGGUUCGAAUAUGACCUAUGUUUGAACAGGAAGCCCCCAAGUGACCUUAUUGCCUACGGCUAGAUUCAAAUACGAUCAUAAGCUGGAUCCUCCUUCAAGUUAUCAUGUGAUCUUGCAAUGAAAACAACACGUGCACAUUUGGAGGAGAAAAAAGGACAGAGGUCCUGCUUUAUUGCUUAUCAUAAUAUAUACAUGGCUUAGAGAAAUAUGUACAUUAUGAGAGCCGGCGGCUCAAGUGUAGUAAGGCCGAAGCUGAGCUAUAUUCCACGGCCGACGGGUCUCUUCCUCCGACUUACGUGAAUCUUUGUGCUCCCGAAUGUCAAUGAGGUAAUAUGACCCGUUGUGCAAAUUCUUGCUGACCACGAAGGGCCCUUCCCAAGGCGGGGAUAGCUUGUGCGCAUCUGUUUGAUCUUGGAUGAGCCGGAGCACCAGAUCGCCUUCCUGAAAGACCCGGGAUUUAACCCGGCGACUAUGAUAACGGCGCAGGUCUUGUUGGUAAAUCGCUGAGCGAGCUGCUGCCACAUCACGCUGUUCGUCCAACAAGUCAAGAGCGUCUUGGCGCGCCUGUUCAUUAUCCGCCUCAACAUAAGCCGCCACUCGAGGCGAAUCAUGACGGAUGUCACUUGGGAGAACUGCUUCUGCCCCAUAAACCAUGAAGAAAGGCGUGAAACCUGUAGACCUGUUAGGAGUAGUGUUGAUGCUCCAUAACACGGAGGGCAACUCCUCCACCCAACAACCCGGCGUCCGUUGCAAAGGGACCAAAAGCCGGGGCUUGAUACCCUUCAAGAUCUCCUGAUUAGCCCUCUCAGCUUGACCAUUGGAUUGAGGAUGAGCCACUGAUGAAACAUCAAGUCGGAUAUGCUCUCGUUGACAAAACUCCUCCAUGGCGCCUUUGGAUAGAUUGGUACCAUUGUCAGUUAUAAUGCUGUGCGGAAAACCAAAGCGAAAAAUCACCUUUUUCAUAAAUUGAACCGCCGUGGCUGCAUCACACUUGCUAACUGGUUCGGCUUCAACCCACUUUGUAAAUUUGUCAACUGCCACCAAGAGGUGGGUCUUCUUAUCCUUGGACCUUUUAAAAGGCCCAACCGUAUCAAGCCCCCAGACCGCAAAGGGCCAAGUAAUUGGGAUCAUCCUCAGCUCCUGAGCCGACACAUGAGCCCGUCGCGAGAACCUUUGGCAACCAUCACAUUUACUGACCAAGUCCUCCGCAUCAGCAUGAGCCGUCAGCCAAUAAAAACCGUGACGAAAAGCCUUGGCCACAAGAGACUUUGAGCCGGCGUGAUGGCCACAAUCCCCUUCAUGAAUUUCAUGCAAGAUGUCUUGACCUUCCUCAGGGGAGACACAUCGCUGGAACGCUCCCGUAACACUGCGGCGAUGCAACUCACCAUUGAUAACAACCAUUGACUUAGACCGCCGGGUUAUUUGCCUGGCCAAAGUUUCGUCCUCAGGCAAAUAUCCCCGGGUCGUGUAAGCCAGAUAGGGCACUGUCCAGUCCGGGAUGAUGUGGAGAGCCGCCACCAGUCGUGCCUCCGGGUCAGGGACAGCCAAGUCUUCCUCUGUGGGCAACUUAACAGAAGGGUUAUGCAGGAAGUCCAGGAAAGUAUUAGGCGGCACCGGUUUUCGUUGAGAGCCCAGCCAGCUUAAAGCAUCAGCCGCCUCGUUCUUCCUGCGAUCGAUGUGCUCUACUUGGUAACCCUAAAAGUGCCCAGCAAUGGCAUCAACUUCGCGGCGAUAAGCCGCCAUGAGAGGGUCCUUGGAGUCCCACUUUCCUGAUACUUGUUGAGCCACCAAGUCUGAGUCACCGAAGCACCUUACCCAGCUCAAGCUCAUCUCCUUGGCCACUUUCCUGAGCAAGGCCUCGUACUCCGCUGCAUUGUUGGUGCAAGGAAACAUCAAUUGUAGCACAUAAUGGAACUUAUCACCUUUAGGGGAAGCCAAUACGACUCCAGCCCCCGAGCCCUCCAAUUGCCUGGACCCAUCGAAGUAAACAGUCCAAUAUGUGUUAUCCGGCUUUUGUUCGGGCACUUGUAGCUCUGUCCAAUCAUUGAUGAAAUCCACCAAGGCCUGAGAUUUAACAGCAGUGCGUGGCACGUAUUUCAGACUAUGAGGUCCGAGCUCUAUAGCCCACUUAGCCACUCUCCCUGUGGCCUCUCUGUUCUGAAUGAUAUCUCCAAGGGGGGCAGAACUGACCACAGUGAUGGGGUGACCCUGGAAAUAAUGCUUAAGCUUCCGGCUUGCCAUGAACACACCGUAAACAAGCUUCUGCCAAUGCGGAUACCGCUGCUUGGACUCAAUGAGUACUUCACUGACAUAAUAAACCGGCCGCUGAACCGGAUGCUCCUUACCCUCUUCCUUGCGCUCCACCACCACGGCCACACUGACGACUCGUGUGUUAGCAGCCACAUACAGCAAUAAAGGCUCCUUGUCAACCGGAGCAGCAAGGAUUGGGGGCUCGGCCAGCUGUCUCUUCAAAUCCUCAAAAGUCGUACUGGCUGCAUCAUUCCAGACAAAGUCAUCAGUUUUCUUCAUCAACUGAUAUAAUGGCAUAGCCUUCUCCCCCAAACGGCUUAUAAAACGGCUUAAAGCAGCAAUGCGACCCGCCAGGCGCUGGACGUCGUUUAUACACGCCGGCUUAGCCAGGGAGGUGAUGGCCUUGAUCUUCUCCGGGUUAGCUUCAAUGCCUCUGUCAGAAACCAAGAAACCCAAGAGUUUGCCUGCAGGAACACCAAAAACACACUUGGCCGGGUUAAGCAUCAUCUUGUAGACCCGGAGAUUAUCAAAGGUUUCCCUCAGAUCAUCUAUCAGGGUUUCCUCCUUCCUGGAUUUAACCACAAUAUCAUCCACAUAAGCAUGAACAUUGCGCCCAAUCUGGUUAUGAAGACAGUUCUGCACGCAACGCUGAUAAGUUGCCUGUGCACUCUUGAGUCCAAAGGGCAUGGACACAUAGCAGAAGGCUCCAAAGGGAGUGAUGAACGCUGUCUUCUCCUGGUCCUUAACUACCAUUUUAAUCUGAUGAUAUCCGGAAUAAGCAUCCAAGAAACUUAAGCGCGCACAACCUGCCGUAGCAUCAAUAAUUUGAUCAAUACGGGGAAGGGCAAAAGGAUCAGCCGGACACGCCUCGUUUAAGUCCGUGUAGUCCACACACAUCCGCCAAGUGCCGUUCUUCUUGAGCACGAGCACCGGGUUAGCUAACCACUCUGGGUGAAAGACUUCAACAAUAAACCUGGCCACUAAGAGCCGGGCCACCUCUUCACCAAUAGCUUUCCGCAUCUCUUCAUUAAACCGUCGAAGGAAUUGCCUGACCGGCUGAAAUUUCGGAUCAACAUUGAGAGUGUGCUCAGCGAGUUCUCUAGGUACACCUGGCAUGUCAGAAGGUUUCCAUGCAAAAAUGUCCCUAUUCUCACGGAUGAACUCGAUGAGCGCGCUUUCCUAUUUUGGAUCCAGAUUGGCACUGAUGCUAAACUGCUGAGAUGAGUCACCUGGAACGAAAUCAACAAGUUUAGUCUCAUCAGCCGACUUAAAUUUCAUUGUCGGCUCAUGCUCCGUAGUUGGCUUUUUCAGAGAGGUCAUAUCUGUUGGGUCAACGUUGUCUUUGUAAAACUUCAACUCCUCUGUUGCGCAAACAGAUUCUGCAUAAGCUGCAUCGCCUUCCUCACACUCCAGGGCCACCUUCCGGCUGCCGUGAACCGUAAUGGUCCCAUUAUGACCCGGCAUCUUGAGCUGUAAAUACACGUAACACGGCCGUGCCAUGAACUUGGCGUAAGCCGGCCGCCCGAAUAUGGCAUGGUACGGACUUCUUAUCUUGACCACCUCAAAGGUCAAUUUUUCCACCCUGUAGUUGUGCUCAUCUCCAAAGGCCACUUCCAACUCGAUCUUGCCGACUGGAUAAGCCGACUUACCAGGUACUACACCAUGGAAAAUAGUGUUUGAUUGGCUGAGGUUCUUAUCAAUCAACCCCAUACGACGGAACGUCUCAUAAUAGAGGAUGUUGAUGCUGCUGCCUCCAUCCAUGAGCACCUUAGUGAACUUAUAUCCUCCCACCUGAGGAGCCACCACCAAGGCCAAGUGACCCGGAUUAUCCACCCGGGGAGGGUGAUCCUCCCUACUCCACACUAUAGGCUGCUCAGACCACCGCAAGUAGCAUGGAACCGCCGGCUCAACAGCAUUCACAGCCCUCUUAUGAAGCUUCUGAUCUCGCUUACACAGACUGGUGGUAAACACAUGAUACUGUCCACCGCUAAGCUGCUUUGGAUUGGUCUGAUAACCCCCCUGCUACUAUUGAUGACCCUGGCCAGGCUGCUGAUUAAAGCUCCCUUGACCGUUCUGAGGAUUAGAAUUUGAACCGCCGCCCGGGCCAUGAAAGCCGCCAGCGCCUGAGCCACCGCCCGGGCCAUUGUUGCCAUUAAAGGCGUUGGAAUUCUUAAAGGCCUUCAUGAUUGCACAAUCCUUCCAUAAAUGAGUAGCUGGCUUCUCUCUAGAGCCAUGCCUUGGACAAGGCUCAUUCAACAGUUGCUCCAGCGUCGGGCCUGACCCGCCGGCUCGGGGAGGGGGCCUCCCCUUGCGUCGCUGGUUAGUACCUUGUGAGCUGGCGUUGGCUACAAACUCUAGGCUGACGUCGGCCUUGCGCUUGCCACCUCCUUGGUUCCCAGGGUUAUGCUGAGGACCCUUGCCAUUGCCGUUCCUCUUUCCCUUCCCUGUCCUUUCAUCAUCUGAAGCGGGGUCCUUGGUACCAUCAGAAUCGGCGUACUUGACGAGAGCCGCCAUCAGUGUACCCAUAUCAUUGCAGUCGCGCUUAAGCCGCCCGAGUUUCAUCUUCAGGGGCACGAAAUGACAAUUCUGCUCCAACAUUAAAACUGCAGAGCCGGCAUCCAUCUUAUCAGAUGAAUGUAUUAUCUCCUUAACCCGGCGAACCCAAUGUGUCGUAGACUCACCCUCCUGCUGCUUACAGUUAGUCAAAUCCACAAUUGACAUAGACUGCCUAUAGGUAUCCUUGAAGUUUUGGAUGAACCGGGCUUUCAGCUCAGCCCAAGACCCGAUGGAAUUCGGUGGUAGCCCCUUCAACCAAGUGCGGGCAGACCCAUCUAACAUCAUGGUGAAGUACUUGGCCAUUGCCGCUUCACUGACUUCCAGCAGUUCCAUGGCCAUCUCGUAACUCUCGAUCCAGGCUGCGGGUUGUAAGUCAGCCGUGUAAUUAGGCACCUUCCUAGGGCCUUUGAAGUCCUUGGGUAGACGUUCAUUGCGGAGAGCUGGCACUAAACAAGGGACACCUCCAGUCCUGGUAGGGAUACCCACGUCGAGGGAAGUCGUCGGAUAAGCCGGGGGAGUCUGGUAAGCCGUCAACUGAGGCACCUGCUCCGUCUCUUGCCGCGCUCUGUCUUGGUCUGCUGCGUGAAAGGCUCCGUUAUGAACCGGGCCAUGGCCAGGGGGCGGGUCAUGGCGUCGGACAUUACUUGAGCCGGUCGCUGAGACCAUGUGUCUGCUCUAACUCGGGCUCCGGCCUGGAUGAAGGGUCGAGUGGAUCCUGUCCCGGCUGUAGGAGUACGCCUCUUGCUGCGCCAGUGCUGUCUGAAGGAGUUCCCUGACCCGGCGGGUUUCAAUAGCCAUCGGAGAGUCGCCGUCAAUUGGGAGGGCUGCCAGCCGCGCUACUGCGGCUACCAUGUUCUCCAGCGGGUUAGCAUAAUGACCAGGUGGUAUUGGCACAUACUGAGGCGGGGCAGGGUUCACCCGGGGAGGCCCCAUUACUUGUGGCUGAACAGGGGUCCCAGACCCGGGCACUAUGAUCCCUGGCGGGUUACUGGACCCUGCACCUGGCGUGUUGAAGAGGUUUCGAGGAUCGUAAACCAGAGGGAGUUGAGACUGGGCCUUCUGAUGCCUCCUUCUCAUGACCUCAUUGGACGCGUUCUGAUCCAUCGUGAGCUAGAAGGACUGCGCCUGAAUCAACUGAGUCUGGGCGUCGAGAGCCGCCCUCUCCGCAGCCAUCCUGAUCCCUUCCGCUGCCAGAUCCUCCUUGGCUUUCACUAGAUCUAACUUUAACUGCGCCACCUCCGCGUCGUGCUGAGCUUGAUCCGCCGGGUCAACCGCGGCGGUCAACAGAGCCGUUAUCUUGUCCGUGAGAUCCAUCAGCACCUGAGCCGGCGAGGGCACCGGAUUUCCCGCCCCAGCAGCAGGGUUCUGAACAGGCUGCGCACCGGCCAUGAAGAUUCCAACCCGGCUCGGCGGCUCAAACGGGUCCGGAAUACUGUCACCAUCGGAACAACCCAUGAGCCUGCCAUCUUGAAGUUGAUACAACGAGUUGGACUCAUCUGUGGACGACUCGCCGUCAGAGCCGGCGGCCGUCUCAUCACCAGAUCCAGAUCCAUCAGAGAGCCCUGCAUGAAUACAUCCCACAAAAGCAUGCUUCAAGGCAGGCAGGGCCCGGGCGGGUCGUGCGCGCUGAGCCGUCUCGACCGGCGCAGAGAUCCGGCGCCGGGCCCAGCUCACCAAUCUUGCCAAUGAAAACAUAAAUUCCGCCGAAGGGGACCCGGUAUCCGUACUCUAUUGAGCCGGCGUCGGGGCCCCAGUUUGCAUCAUCGAUGUAGAGCUUGCCGCGACGACUCUUGGUCAUCCGGCCCACAGCGUAUCUCUUGAGCCCUUCGAAGCUGCCCUUCAAGAACUCAAAUCCAUCGUGCGCUGGCCCCACGGUGGGCGCCAACUGUCGUGGAAUUGUCACGGCAGAUGUCCUCAAGCUAGGACUUAGUCGUGGAGCCAUCGCCGCUAGGAAGCUUGAAGGGGUUAACGGGACAAGGAACACGAGGGUUUAUACUGGUUCGGCCCCUUACGGUGAAGGUAAAAGCCUACGUCCAGUUGAGGUGGUAUUGAUUAGGGUUUCGAUGACCAGGGAGCUUAACUGCUAUGCCCGGCUCUCGAUGAGAUCUUUCUUGCCCCUAAACCGCUGCCGGGUCGUCCCUUUAUAUAGGGAGGCUGACGCCCAGCAGCUCUCAGAGUCCCGGCCGGCUCAUAAGAAUGUCCGGCUCGGACUCUCAACUAUUCUUGCCUUACACUACAAGUUCUACCAUAAUGAUGAUUGUAACUACGGGCCUUAAGCCAUAUCCGGGUCUUAAGCCCAUCUUUGGCCCACCGUCUUCAAGCUUGGCGCCGGGCUUCUCGCGAUGACCAUUAUGAGUAACCCGGCCCCUCCUGGUGGGUGACUCUAAGGUCUAUAUCCUCAACACACGGGAUCAUGCAUUGCGGUACGAGUAAAGAGACUUGCCGAUAACGAGAUUGAACAAGGUAUUGGGAUACCGACGAUCGAAUCUCGGGCAAGUAACAUACCGAUUGACAAAGGGAAUUGUAUACGGGAUUGAUUGAAUCCUCGACAUCGUGGUUCAUCCGAUGAGAUCAUCGUGGAACAUGUGGGAGCCAACAUGGGUAUCCAGAUCCCGCUGUUGGUUAUUGACCGGAGAGGCGUCUCGGUCAUGUCUGCAUGUCUCCCGAACCCGUAGGGUCUACACACUUAAGGUUCGGUGACGCUAGGGUUGUAGAGAUAUGAGUAUGCGGAAACCUGAAAGUUGUUCGGAGUCGCGGAUGAGAUCCCGGACGUCACGAGGAGUUCCGGAAUGGUCCAGAGGUGAAGAAUUAUAUAUAGGAAGUCAAGUUUCGGCCACCGGGAAAGUUUCGGGGGUCACCGGUAUUGUACCGGGACCACCGGAAGGGUCCCGGGGGUCCACCGGGUGGGGCCACCUAUCCCGGAGGGCCCCAUGGGCUGAAGUGGGAAGGGAACCAGCCCUUAGUGGGCUGGGGCGCCCCCCAUGGGCCUUCCCCCUGCGCCUAGGGUUGGAAACCCUAGGGUGGGGGGGCGCCCCACUUGCCUUGGGGGGCAAGUCUCCCCCCUGGCCGCCGCCCCCCCAUGCAGAUGGGUCUUGGCCGGCGCCCCCCUCCCAGGGGGCCUAUAUAAAGGGGGGGAGGGAGGGCAGCAGUGCUACAGCCUUUGGCGCCUCCCUCCUCCCCUGCAACACCUCUCCCUCUCGCAGAAGCUCGGCGAAGCCCUGCCGAGAUCCCGCUACAUCCACCACCACGCCGUCGUGCUGCUGGAUCUCCAUCAACCUCUCCUUCCCCCUUGCUGGAUCAAGAAGGAGGAGAUGUCGCUGCUCCGUACGUGUGUUGAACGCGGAGGUGCCGUCCGUUCGGCACUCGGUCAUCGGUGAUUUGGAUCACGGCGAGUACGACUCCAUCAACCUCGUUCAUUGGAACGCUUCCGCUCGCGAUCUACAAUGGUAUGUAGAUGCACUCCUUUCCCCUCGUUGCUAGUAUAGUCCAUAGAUGGAUCUUGGUGAGCGUAGGAAAAUUUUAAAAUUCUGCUACGAUCCCCAAUACCAUGUCACUGCCAGCAUGCACCAUGGCACUUGGGGGCUAAUGUAAAGACAUUUUUUGCUCCACUUAUUGAAGACCCGACUCAUCACAUUGUAAUGAGCCGGCCCUUGGGGGCUACCAAUUGCUCAUGUCGAAAAUUCAAGGUACACAAGCCUUAAUCUAUUAUAUUGAAAGAUCCACUACUCAGUUGGUAGAGUACAAAGCUCUUAACCUUGUGGACGUGGGUUCAAGCCCCAUGGUGGAGAUUACAUCAUAUGCUGUUAUUAUCAAUGAAUCAUAUACAAAGUCCCAGCUCGGUAAUAUCUUACUGACCCGGCCCUUGGGGGCUACACGUUGCUGGUCAAGUUUACAUGAUCAUAUUUACAAAGUCCCUGCUCAUUAUUGCAUAAUGACCCGGCCCUUGGGGGCUACACCGGUUGAAGUUUUUAUGAGCAUAAGGCAAUUACAAGUCCUAGGUUGCUGCAAGCAUGACAACCCGGCACUUGGGGGCUACAUAUGUGGAAUAUUCAGUUUAUGAGUAAUUCUCAGUUUGGAGUAGACCAGAUUAACCCGGUGUCUGCAACAAUCAUGACCCGGCAUCAGUUAUUUAUAACCCGGCAAUUUUGGCAAUCAUCGGCAAGAUCUACAUCUUUAAGCCGGCUGAAUAUCAGUUGAAUAUUUCAAGACCAAUAUUUUUGUCAAGUCAGAGCAUUGAAGGCCGAAUCAAAUGGAUUAUUUCUUAUAAUGUUUCUCUACAAGAGCCAAUGUCAGCAGAUUGGUUAUGAAGCUGGCCUAUUGACCCGGAUUUUUUAGAAGAAGUGCCUGGAUUUUUUGCAUUGGCAAGGUUUGGACAUAUCUGUUAAAAGAGAUUUGCUAUAAGAUCUUGAGUAUGCAUCCAGGAGGAAAAUGACAAGGACUUAAAGAUGAUCAGGUGCCGGUUUAGGAAAAUAUUUAACCCGGAGCACAACCUAUCAAGCUUGUUCUUGUGUUUAAUUUACAGGAUCAGUUUAACAUGGAUGAAUCCAUAUUAAACUGGGGGCUAAUGUCGGGGAUAUACCCCGCGGUAUGACUCGGCCGGGAGUAUGACCCGGCCGGACAUGGCGCUUCAUCGUAACCCGACGAAGGAUUGGCGACUCAUUAGCCUGGCGACUUAAUGAUGGCCCCGACGGCGGGUCAGACAUAAGAGUAGGCCCAAGGCCCAGAGGGCCGGCUCAUGUUAUGGUGGGCCGGUUUAUGAGGAAAGGCAUAAAGAAUAUUCUCCUACCAAGGAAGCAAGACCCGGACUUGUAUUCAACUUGUAAGAAAAGAUAGACUAGUCUUAGUCCUACUAGGACUCCGCAUAUAACCUGCCCCUCUAACUUAUAUAAGGAGGGGCAGGGCACCCCAAAGAGGGACAGACAAGACAAGAAACAAUCUCUAGGGCUAAACACCGAGAGCCGGUUCCCGGCGACUCUCCCGUGAUCAUAAUGAGACAUAGCCUCAAACAGCAUGUAGGGUUGUUACCGGAUGAUGUUUCCCGGGGCCCGAAGCUGUCUAAAUCCUUGUCUUGUGUUGCGUCUCUCGAUUCCGCUCAACCCCUCUCAAGCUACCACAUAGAUGCAUUGGCCUCGCGACUAAGUCCUGACACUAAGGACAUCUGCCGUGGCAAUUCCAUGACACCUUUGGUUGAAGCACUUGUUAGCAUAGUGACCUUUCUGCUGACACUUGUUGCAAGUCACCUCUGAGAGUGGACGAUGAUAAGGAGCAUUCGACUUUGGAGCUUGAUUCUGAGACUUGUUCUGAUAGCCAGGGUUGGAUGAGUGGGAAGACCCAUGGCCACCUUUGUUCUUCUGCUGGAAAGGCUGACGAAACGGAGGAGGAGGAGGCAACCAGAACUUCUGUUGCUUAGCAGCCACUAGUGAGGAAGAAGAAGACUGAACUGCGUCCCUGACUCUCUUCUUAGAAGCCUCACACUUGAGCUGAGCAGCCUCUUGCUUCAGAGCCAUAUUGUAGAAAUCAUCAUACUUGGUCGGCUCAAAAAGCACGAGAGGUAAUUGCAGAUCUUCUCUGAGGCCACCACUGAAUUGAUAGAUCAUGCUCUUUUCAUCAAGAACGUCUUGCUUAGCGAAGCGAGCGAGUUUCUGAAACUGAGUAUUGUAUUGAUACACGGACAUGCUGCCUUGCUUGAGAUUGCGGAACUCCUCACGCUUGCUCUCAACAACACUUUGUGGAAUGUGGUGAGCUUUGAAGUCUCGGUGGAAAUCAUCCCAGGUAAUCACACGACCUCCUCUAGAAUCUUUGUAUUGUUGAUACCACUCGGCAGCUUGAUCCUUGAGUUGAAAAGAAGCGAACUUGACAAAGUCCUCAGGCCUGACGUUGCUACAUUCAAAAUGUUUGUUGAUGUCCACGAGCCAAUCAUCGGCGUCUGUGGCCUCGGCACAGCAGCUGAAAGACUUGGGCUGAUCUGCGAGGAACUGGUUGAGGGUAGCGAAGUGAGGCUGAUUGUUGCCUUGGCCUUGAUUUCCUUGAUUGCCUUGCCCUUGGGUGCGUUCUUGCAAGAGUUGCAAAAUCAUCUGAGCAUUGGCGUUGGUGGCUGCCAUGAUAGCUUGCCAUGCCUCCGAAGGCGGAGGUGGUGGCGGAGGGUUCGCCUGACUCCCUUCAUUGCGUUCCGGAUUCUGACGCGUUGGCGGAGCCAUCCUGAAGAGGGUGGCAUCCGUUAGCAUCUUGAUAGACAGAUAGGCAAAUUGAAUCAACGGAUAGAAAUUGCAACAUAUAGUCUUCACAAUAAACAUUUGAACGAGGAUGAACGAAUGAAUUCCAUAGUAAAUCAUCACCCUUCCAUUAAGGUGAGAAGCCACUUGAUAAGAGAUUGAUGAAUAAAAUAAAAAGGUACGAGUGGAACAAAUAAGUGGUAAGGAUUACCCAAUCACAAACCAAAUAUAUGCGGGAAGAAAUGCUAAGAGCUACUUGAAUCCCACCUAUAAACUCCCGAAACUUUCUGGUUAUGCAAUCUGUUGUUGGGGAUACAGGGGACACAAAAUAUAUCACCCAAACUAGCAAUUCCUAGGUCCAGCUGUAUCCAUCCGUCAACACAUAACCAAGAAACCUUCGGAAAUCGUGUACCUCAACCUUCGAAAAUCAUCCGUUAUACGAGUUAUGGCAAUACUCCCGAACUCGCGCCCCAGUACUGGGUGGCGUCGAGGUGAUCUCACCAACAACUGCAUAAAAGAGAUUUUCGAUGUCGGCGAAACUCAGGUAUUCUAGAACUGCAAAGAUAAAAUUGUGACGACAACACCUCGGAGCUCAACUCCCCGGGACACUGCCACAACCCCUAAAUGUCAGGAGGCACCAAGAACAAUGUUCUCGUCACAAAACCAUCGGAACGAUUCCAAGAUACCCCCGUGAUCCUAAAUUUUUUUUAGUGAAAUUUGAGGAGAGAAGAGACAAAACUUCUACGUCAGGAGACCUCACCAGAGCGACGAAGGGACCGAGGAGUAAAAAGAAUCCUACUCUCCGAUAUAUAUAAUCCUAAGACUCAAAACAUUUUUUUUCUAGACUCAACAACGCCAACGAUUCGAUCAAGCAGGGGGCUCCUAAGUCGGGGAUGGCUCUGAUUACCAACUUGUAACGCCCACGAUGCGUCUAUAUCUCCCACGUGUCGAGGCACGACUUAGAGGCAUAACCGCAUUGUGGUUUUGUCACAAGAAGGGUCAUCUUCACACAAUCCCAUGUAAUGAACAAGAAUGGGAUAACGAGAGUUGGCUUACAAUCGCCACUUCACACAAUACAUAAAUAUAAUUCAUACAUCAUCCAAAAUCCACACAUAGACCGACUACGGUUGAAUCCAAAUGAAAAUAAGAUAACCCCAAAUGCUAGAUCCCCGAUCGUCCCAACUGGGCUCCACUACUGAUCAUCAGGAAAAGAAACAUAGUAACGACCACGUUCCUCAUCAAACUCCCACUUGAGCUCGGUUGCGUCAUCUGCACUGGCAUCGUCGGCACCUGCAACUGUUUUGGUAGAAUCUGUGAGUCACGAGGACUCAAGAAUCUCACACCCGCGAGAUCAAGACUAUUUAAGCUUAUAGGAAAGGGUGGUGUAAUGAGGUGGAGCUGCAGCAAGCACUAAGCAUAUAUGGUGGCUAACAUACGCAAAUGAGAGCGAGAAGAGAAGCAACGCAACGGCCGCGAAGCUAGAAGUGAUCAAGAAGUGAUCCUGAAACUACUUACGUUCAUGCAUAACUCAAACCGAGUUCACUUCCCGGACUCCGCCGAGAAGAGACCAUCACGGCUACACACACGGUUGGUGUAUUUUAAUUAAGUCAAUUGACAAGUUCUCUACAACCGGACAUUAACAAAUUCCCAUCUGCCUCAUAACCGCGGGCACGGCUUUCGGAAGAUAAUACCCUGCAGGGGUGUCCCAACUUAGCCCAUCAUAAGCUCUCACGGUCAACGAAGGAUAAACCUUCUCCCGGGAAGACCUAAUCAGUCUCGGAAUCCCGGUUUACAAGACAUUUCGACAAUGGUAAAACAAGACCAGCAAAGCCACCCGAAUGUGCCGACAAAUCCCGAUAGGAGCUGCACAUAUCUCGUUCUCAGGGCACACCGGAUGAGCCAGACGUCGGGUUGGCAUAGACCCUGGAUGCCCAGGGGGCGCCGGACAUCGCUCGGUUUGGGCCAACACUCGAAGGAGCACUGGUCCGGGGGGGUUAAAAUAAAGAUGACCCUCGGGCUCGCGAAAACCCAAGGGAAAAAGGCUUAGGUGGCAAAUGGUAAAACCAAGGUUGGGCCUUGCUGGAGGAGUUUUAUUCAAGGCGAACUGUCAAGGGGGUCCCAUAAAUCACCCAACCGCGUAAGGAACGCAAACUCAAGGAACAUAAUACCGGUAUGACGGAAACUAGGGCGGCAAGAGUGGAACAAAACACCAGGCAUAAGGCCGAGCCUUCCACCCUUUACCAAAUAUAUAGAUGCAUUAAUUAAAUAAGAGAUAUUGUGAUAUUCCAAAAUAUCCAUGUUCCAACAUGGAACCAACUUCAACUUCACCUGCAACUAGCAACGCUAUAAGAAGGGCUGAGCAAAACCGGUAACUUAGCCAAACAACGGUUUGCUAGGAAAGGAUGGUUAGAGGCUUGACAUGGCAAAUAUGGGAGGCAUGAUAUAGCAAGUGGUAGGUAGCGCAGCAUAGCAAUAGAACGAACAACUAGCAAAGCAAAGAUAGAAGUGAUUUCGAGGGUAUGGUCAUCUUGCCUGCAAGGUUCUUAGAGUUGUCGAAAGCUUGAUCCUCGUAAGCGUACUCAACAGGUUCCUCAUGCAUGAACUCGUCUCCCGGCUCUACCCACAACAAGAACAAAAGCAAUGGAACCACAAUCAAUCACGGGAAAUGCACAAGCAACAUGAUGCAAAACAUGCAUGAUAUGCGAGAUAUGAUAUGCGAUGCAUAUGCGUGCUCCGGAAGAAAGGAAUGAACAAGGCAGUAACUUGGCAAAACAAGUAUGCCACUGGACAGAUGAGAUGAUUUUGGUCGAAAUCGAUAUAAAGAUCACCGGAAACGGAUGCACGGUUUGCAAAUGACAAGCAAAACAAGAAUGACACGAUUCUGCGAUUAACAGCAUGAUAGCACUUAGAAUGCAACAAGUAACUAUGCUACGGCACCCCAACAUAGCAACAAAGCAUAUGUAAGUAAUCUACAGGGGAUGCGUGAAAAAAGAUGAACACUGAGCUACGGCUAGAUCACACCAUAACAGGUUCAAAAAAGCAUGGCAAAAGUGCAAAAGAUAACAGGAUCACAGACUGUGAAAUUACUGGACAUGGCUGAAACAGCAUCAGGUAGCAAUAUUCAGAGCAAGAAAAGCACAUGCUACAGGACCCUAACAUAGGAAAACAAGCCAUGGAAUGAAUCUACUAAAAGCAUAGAACAAAAGUCCCUUACUGACCAUGAGCCAGAAAGGACCAGAAGAUAUGAUGGCACCCAUGUAAACAUAGCAAGUUUCGUUAACAGGUUUCAGACUUGGCAGAAAACAGAGCAUGGCAGAAACAGUAUUAUGAAGGCAUCUUGGUGAGCUUGAUUCACUCAUCACAGAGCAAUGCAUGACAAAGCAAGCAUACCUACAGCAAGAUGGCAUGUUUAUGAAGCUGACCAUUGUAAAAGCAAGUUCAUAGCAUGUGUGGAUCAACUACAACAACCUUGGCAAAAUUGAAUAUCAUGUUAUCAAUCUGCCAGGAAUAUUUUAUAGCAAAAGUAGAGCAAGAUUAAGACAUGCUAUGGCACUCCAUAAUUGCAAACAGAGGCAUGGAUGGAUAGAAAACAACUAUAUCUACAAAACAUCCUUACUGAACAUGCCCAAAAGAAGCAUGGAUCUCUCUGUAGCCACAUGGAUACAUAACAACAAAAUAACAGCAGUAACAGACGGCAAAAAUCCGAAGUCCCUAAAAACAGAAACAUCACGAAGCCUAGUUUGCAUGCUUGUAGAGCUCAUACUCAUAAGACGGCAUGGCAUAGAUCACAAAAAUACAUGGCAUACACUUCUGUAAAGACGGCAUGGCAUAGAUCAAAACACAUGUAGAGCUCAUACUCAUAAGAUGCACACAUCAAUUGCAACAAAAAUAACAAAUCACCAAGUUCUGAUAAGUAACAGCAGUUAACAGCAUAUAGCACUCUUGCACCAGAGAUUUGGGCAUCAAUAUGGACUCAAACGAGCAUGUCACAAUGUAACAAAAUGAAAAUCAUCUCGAGGCGAACAUUUCGAUAUAUUACAUGCACGAAACGGAGCAGUAUGCACGGAGUUAUGAUGUGAUGAACAUGAGCACAUAAAGUGAAAUAUACGGGACGGGAGAAAUUCGGGGGAGGGGAGAAGUCAACCUUCGAACGAGAUCUGGAUCGGGCGCGACUCGGGCUCGCCGGAGCUCGCGUCGGAGUUGGAGCUGGCCGGCCGGAGCGGAGAGGAGGGAGAGGAGCUCGGAGAGGGGCGCGGGGUCCGGCGAGGAGGACGCGGUCGCCGGGGUCGGGGACGAGAGGAGCGGGCGGCGAGGGCGCNNNNNNNNNNNNNNNNNNNNNNNNNNNNNNNNNNNNNNNNNNNNNNNNNNNNNNNNNNNNNNNNNNNNNNNNNNNNNNNNNNNNNNNNNNNNNNNNNNNNNNNNNNNNNNNNNNNNNNNNNNNNNNNNNNNNNNNNNNNNNNNNNNNNNNNNNNNNNNNNNNNNNNNNNNNNNNNNNNNNNNNNNNNNNNNNNNNNNNNNNNNNNNNNNNNNNNNNNNNNNNNNNNNNNNNNNNNNNNNNNNNNNNNNNNNNNNNNNNNNNNNNNNNNNNNNNNNNNNNNNNNNNNNNNNNNNNNNNNNNNNNNNNNNNNNNNNNNNNNNNNNNNNNNNNNNNNNNNNNNNNNNNNNNNNNNNNNNNNNNNNNNNNNNNNNNNNNNNNNNNNNNNNNNNNNNNNNNNNNNNNNNNNNNNNNGGGAGAGGGCGACCGGGCCGCGGGGGGCGGCCGUGGGCCUCGCGGGCCUGCGGUCAGCGGCGAUGGCGGCGCCCACGUGGCGGCUGCGGAUAGGCCCGGGGCGGCGGCGGGAUUUCGUCCGGCUCGGGCCGGACACGUCCGGCUGCAGAGAGGGGAAGGGGACUAGGGUUUGCACCGCGAAUUCGGAGGGGGAUCACAUAUAUAUAGGUAGAGGGAGCUAGGAGACUCCAAAUGGGUGCGGUUUUCGCCCACACGAUCGUGAUCGAACGACCGAGAGCAUGGAAGGGACUUGGAUGGGAUAUUGGUCUGUUAGGAGGGGGGUUUUGCUGCAACACACAAAAGGACUUUGCGGUUACCCGGUUAACCGUUGGAGCAUCAAACGACCUCCAAAUGGAACGAAACUUGACAGGUGGUCUACCGCUGCUGUACCAAGGCCACUUGGCAAACCUCGGUCCAUUCCGAGAACGUUUAACACCCGCUCACGAAAAGAAACAAGAGGUAUGCGCCGGUGCACGGGGGAGUGUCGGAUUGCAAAACGGACAACGGGGAAAAUGCUCGGGCGCAAGAGACGAACACGUAUGCAAAUGAGAUGCACAUGAUGACAUGAUAUGACAUGCAUGGCAACAAAAUACAAAACAAAAAACAAAACCCAACCACAUAGGGAAUAUCAUAACACAUAGCCGAAAAUGGCAAGAGUUGGAGUUACAAAUAUGGAAAGUUACAUCCGGGGUGUUACAACACUCCACCACUACGAGAGGAUCUCGUCCCGAGAUCUAGGACUGAAAGAACUCCGGAUAUUCUGAAUGGAGGUGGUCCUCGCGUUCCCAGGUGGCUUCUCGGUCGGAAUGGUGCGGCCACUUCACUUUCAGGAAUUUGAUUGACUUGUUGCGAGUCUUGCGCUCAGUUUCUUCAAGAAUAGCAACAGGGUGCUCAUGAUAAGACAGAUCUUCUUGGAGGUCAAUCUCUUCGAAGUUGAUGGUGCGCUCACGAGUCUUGAAGCACUUGCGGAGCUGUGACACGUGGAACACAUCGUGCACGUUCGCGAAGUUGGAGGGAAGCUCAAGUUGAUAGGCGAGGUCACCUCUUUUGCCAAUGAUCUUGAAAGGACCCACGUAUCUAGGGGCAAGCUUCCCUUUGAUACCGAAGCGACGAGUGCCUUUCAUUGGAGAGACGCGGAGGUAGACAUGGUGUCCGAUCUCGAAAGCCAAAUCACGGUGCUUGCUAUCAUAGUAACUCUUUUGGCGCGAUUGCGCGGCUUUGAGAUUUUCACGGAUGACUUUACACAUUUCUUCAGCCUCUGUGAUUAAGUCAUUGCCAAGAAGUUGGCGUUCACCAAUCUCUGACCAAUUGAGAGGAAUACGACACUUUCUGCCAUAGAGAAUCUUGUCGGGGAUAUACCCCGCGGUAUGACCCGGCCGGAAGUAUGACCCGGUCGGACUUGGCGCUUCACCGUGGACCCGCCGGAGGACUGACGACUCACGAGCCUGACGAUUCAUGGAUGGCCCCGAUGGCGGGUCAGAUAGAAGACAAGGCCCAAGGCCCAGAAGGCCGGCUCACGUUUAUGAUGGGUCGGCUUAAGACGGAAGGCAUGAGGAAUAUUUCCUUUACAAGGAAAUAUUCCCGUACUUGUAUCCGACUUGUAAUAGGGAAUAAGUUAGUUCUAAUCCUACUAGGACUCUACAUGUAAAGCCGCCUCUCCAACUUAUAUAAGGAGGGGCAGGGCACCCCAAAGAGGAACAAGAAACAAUCUCUAGGGCUAGACACCGAGAGCCGGUUCCCGGCGACUCUCCCGUGAUCAUAAUCAGACCUAGCCUCAAACAGCAUGUAGGGUUGUUACCGGAUGAUGUUUCCCGGGGCCCGAAGCUGUCUAAAUCCUCGUCUUGUGUUGCGUCUCUUGAUUCCGCUCAACCCCUCUCAAGCUACCACAUAGAUGCGUUGGCCUCGCGACUAAGUCCUGACACUAAGGACAUCUGCCGUGACAAAUCUACGACAGUUGGCGCCCACCGUGGGGCCUGCGCACGAUGGUGUUGAGUUCUUGGAGGGAUUUUUCCUAGGGUUCGAGAAGCUCGUGAUGAUCCCGAUGAUGUAGAGUCGGCGUUGUUCGCUGCGAAGUUUUCUGCCGUUGGCGUGGAAGGAUUUACAUCGUUGACCAACAGUUGGAACGGCAUAUACGAGAUUGGAUUAAGAGUUAGGGUUGUAUCUGUGUACGCUGCAACACGCGACCAGGCGAUUCAUCGGACCGGAUCAAAUUUUGCUGCAAGGCCGUCAAAUUUCCAAGUCGCCGAGAUGGUUUCUACUAUAAUCUAUUUGGCGAAUCGGACACGCUACAAGUCCCAAGGCAUCAACUGUGGCUGCUUGUGAUAUUCUCUAUGCGUGAAAACCAACAUGUUCAUCUACUAGAAGUACUACUUACGUAGAGGCAGUGUUAUUGGAGUGCGAUAGUUCAUAUAUUUUUGAAUCUUCCAAUGGUUGUCGAGCGCUGCAUCUACUGACCCAUCAAGCUGCCACAUCAAAUCGGCCCGUAUCCGAGUCAAACCGGCGCAACUCACCGUCCGGCGAAAGGCCAAAAAUCAUCUUCCGCUUCUACUAUUGGGUCACGCCAUGUGUUAGGACAGAUACAUACUGAAUGCGGCCUCUUAUGUCUAAUUACUCAAUACAGCGCAUUCUAGUGAAAAUUAGACGUGGCGUUUCUCUUGCAUAUCGGAUCAAUCUCUAGUUUCCAAAACUACAAGGUCAAAAUUGCGGAGUGCUCAGCGCCGGGAAGCUGGGGACUCAGGCUCUGUUUCCAUCCCCAAGUCAUACCCGCGUCUGCUCUGGUUGGCUUCCACUUCGAGCACCCGCCGGCCGUCUCAGCUCACUCCGAGUGCCUCCGCAACUGAGACCCGCAGCCAUGCCGCCGGGUUGUCCUCGCCAGCGCGUUUUGUUUCAGCUGCCGCGAUCGAGCUGUUGUGACUCGCCGCCCUGCUGCUCUAACCGCUGCCGUGACCAUGGUUCACAUUGAUCAUAACCUGCCUUGAGCAGCUCCCGGAGAGCCGCCCCGCGACUUCCAGAUUGCCGGGAUCCAAAAUCACCGGUUUACCAAUGAGUCGCACGCUACUGUCCGGGUCUUGUUUUUAUCGUAACCCGCCAAGUCGCCGCCCAUCGCCGGUUUGCCUCCGCCAUCGCGUCUGCGGCCUUGCGCGAGCCGGACGUUCCAAUGCUUGGCCUCCCGCGCGCUGUUCUGAGCCGGGCUUGGCUUCACUUCCACCUUGAGCAUGGCCCGGCCGCCUUUAAUGUUGAGUCACCUGCCGGUUUGCCACGAACGCCCCCAUCAUCGCCGGUUCACCACGAGUUCCGCCGUAGCCACCUACAGGGGGCGUCAGCGAGCCAUAGAUUCAAACUACCGCUCCAUGAGCCGUCGGUGCCGCGUCGACCCGGAUUUGCUGCAUCGAACCGCCCCCGCUGCUUUUGUGGCCUCACCUGCCGUUCAGCAAUAUAUCAAGGUUCAGCAAUAUAUGAAGGAGAAGAGCUACGACAGCAUCUCGUGAGGUCCUCGAGGGGGUCAGCAAAAAAAUCCUUUGGAUGCAUAUAAGGACCAAAGUGAUAGUACUAAAGGUUAUCUACAGAUGCCACAUACGGAUCAUCUGCCAUAUGAACAAAUCAGGUGCUAUUUUUCUAAACUUUUACUGGUAUAAUUAAGUAUCAUCCAAAGCUUUUUUCACAGUAUGUUAUGUUGUACACAGGUCAAUUGACUCAUGGCCAAGGUAUGAUCCGGUCCUCGUGCGCCGGCGUCGGAGGCGACGUACACAUCUGCACCGCCCGUGCCGGGAGCUUAAAGACUUGGAGAAUAACCCGAAGGGUUUCUACUUGAACCGCCGGGACCAUAUUGAGUCGCCGACCAGCUUAAACUGCCUCUGUCGCGAUGGAUGGAUCAUCCGUUGUCCAAACAAAAAGCAUCGGGUGAUAUCCGUCCGGUUUGUUUUCAUAGCACAUAGUAAUUUUUGUGUGAACAAUUACUCUGGCCUGUAAUAUUUUUAUGCAGGACGGCUAUUGAAAGAAAAAAUGGGUGGUAUUACACCGCGGAGGCAUGCUCGGUUGUGUCGUGCAGCUUCACGGACACGCGUAUCGCGGUCCGGUUUACAUCAACGCGUCGGCCGACUCGCCCGUCCGCACCACCUUACGACGCCAUGGACGACUCGCCCGUCCGCCCUCGCCACCGGUUCAAGCGUCCGCGCUGGUUUACAACGCGGAGGACAACUUGCUCGUCCGCACCGGCUUACAACGCCACGGCCGGCUCAUCUGUUUGCUCCCGCGGCCGACUCGGCCGUGAUUGAUUUCAGCUUCACCGUGAUGAUCAUCGACUCCGCGGUGGAUAAUUUCUGGCCUGACAUAUCAGGUGAAAUCAAUCCAGUAAAUUUUUAUAUAUUAUAUAUCGUUUUCUUUAAAAAGGAGCAAUUACUCUGGCUUGCGAUGUUUUUGAUGUAGGACAAUUGUUCACUACAUCAACACGACGUGGUUGACUCGCCCAUCCGCGCGGCUUACCGCGCCGGCAAUUGACUCGCCCGACCACACCGGUUUACAACGUCGUGACCAACUCAUCCGUUUGUACCACCUCUGAUGCUACAGUUGUUUUUACCAUCUGUCUCUCGCGGCCUGGUCUAUAUCAACAUACCGGGCCACACCUGUCUGCGUGAGCUGAUUAUUGAGUAUGAGCAAGUCACUGCUUGGGAAGCCCGGUUUUUCUUCCAACAAAAUUGGAGGCAAAUUAUCAUGUAUUAUCAGCCGCCGUCUGCACUGGAUGGCUCAAUGGGCAGGCGCACAAGUCGCCGCCACUAUAGUUUGGUUAAACUUGAAACAGCCAGUUGGAAGGAACCAUUGGCCGAGUUGCUGACACGGCUCAUACGGGAUCAUUUAUAAACCCGCCGCAGUCACCUCAACCUUCUGUGGAUUCACAUCGUGCUAUCAAUGCCAAUGAUAUACACCUUCUGCUAUGGUCAAAUAUGGAGAAUCUCAAGCCAACACCUCGAGUCGUCUUGAGACUCGGGGGCUACGAUGGCAUGACUCGGGAAUUCCGAGUCAUUGGAGGGAAUGAUAACCCGGUUCCGGAGGCUACUACCAUAUUGAUGAAAGUUUAAAGGCCGUCAGAAAAUUUCUGGCUUAAAAAGAAGGAUUCCGGUUUAGAUCCGGCUCAAGAGACUUGACAUCUCCCACAAAGCACUGAAGCUUUUAAAUAUCCGGUUCAAGGGAAAUUUAUCUGCCACAAAGUUUUGAAGCUCUCAAAUCCGGUUCAAGGUAAAUUUGUUCAUCACAAAGCUUUGAAACUCUCAAUAUCCGGUUUUUCCGGUUCAAAAAGAAUUUAUCUCUCGCAAAAGUUUGAGUUUUCAGGAAAAAUUAAAGGGACCAAAAAGAGUCUGUUACAAAGCACAACUCAAAUAUAGAUACCCUGCUUUAAUGACCAUUGGGAGCUGAUCGUAUUCGAAUUUAGCUUAACCCUUUGGGUGUGAUCCUGAUCGUAUUCGAAUCAGAGUCGCUAAAUAUUCUCAUGAUCACUAGGGGGCUUCCUAUUCAAACAUAGGUCGUAUUCGAACCAAAGAGAACAUAGUUGUCAGUACCCUCUUGAUCGGCACACUGCCGAGCUCACUAGGGGGGUUCUUGAUCGUAUUCGAUUCAUAGCUCAACCCCUCUUGGGAACCGACGUGGAUCGUAUUCGAAUCAGCGUCGUUAAACAACUCUCAAGGUCAUUUGGGGGCUUCCUGUUCAAACAUAGGUCGUAUUCGAACCAAAGAGAACAUAGCUGUCAGUACCCUCUUGAUCGGCAACGCCAAAGCCACUGGGGGCUAUAUGAUCGUAUUCGAAUCUUAGCUUAACCCCUUUGGGACGGUUUUCUGAUCGUAUUCGAAUCAGAAGCCUCAAAAUUUUUGAAGUCUCUUUUUGCAAAUAAUUUUUGGGAUUUCAUUUGAAGCUCUUUUGAACACAUCUAAAGUGUAUAUGAGUGGUUUCUAUUUAAACCCGGCUUGAUUUUCGAUGAUAAGUCGCCGGCUUAUGACAAUCAUCAUCUAUGUGGAAGCAUUGGCUUCUAAGGAUUGGGUUAUCACACUUACUGCACAGGUGUCAUAAGCCGGCAGUACAAUUCAAUAUCACAGGUAUGAUAUUGUUUAUACAUGAUUAUGUUUAAACCGGCCCACUUUAAGCCGCCGGUAUGUUUUGAAUUGCGCCAUUGGAAUCAUGUGCGUAUCAAAGAUUGGGUUAUCACCCUUAUUGUGCAGGUCAUAUAAACCGACAAUGCAAAUUCAAUAUCACAAGUAUGAUAUUAUAAUUAUGUUUCAAAGUUAUGAUUCAUAACAGGCUUAUCUGUGACUCCUUUUUUACACAUCAGUGCUCAUAUGUAAGAUAUUAUGACCCGCCCUGCGGUAAACCGCCAAGGGUUCUUGUGAUCUACUUGUGUGCAGGAUAAGGCUACAUUUGGGUAGUUACCCGCCCUGGCUUUUGACAUUAAGUCGCCAGGGCGUAUGUUGUUUAAACUCUGUGCAGGAUUUGCAGAACUAUGACUUAUAUAAAUGUUUAAGUCCAAGCUCAUCAUUAAAAUCGAUGCUUCACAAUGAUUAUCCGUUCUGGAUUUUCUCAAAGGCUAUAAGCCGCUGGGUUAUAAAAAUUCCGGCUUACAAUGGAGGCGUAUUAAAUUGCCAUCGGCCAAGGGGCCCCGGUAUUUAAAACUCCGGAUUUACUUAUCAACAGAUAAGGUAUUUGAAUCUUCAAAUAGCCAAACUUGGCUGGAUUUUCACUAUGAUAUUGAAUUUGAAGAUUUUCACAAACCGGGUUAUUCAAAUUUUUAAUAGCCAACAUGGCUGGAUUUUUAUUAUGGUUAUCAGUAACUAAUAUUAUGAUUGAGGUUUUCAAAGUCACUUUGGCGCAAUGGCUAUUAUUUUACCAAUGGAUAUGAUUUAUUCUACAAUGAAAGGAAUAGUCCCGCGUCGCUGCAGGCUUACAACCCGGCACUUGGGGGCUACAUUAUUCAAAUUGAGAUUACAUCGAAUAUGCAAAGUCCCAUGUCACUGCCAGCAUGCACCAUGGCACUUGGGGGCUAAUGCAAAGUCAUUUUUUGCUCAAACUUAUUGAAGACCCGACUCAUCACAUUCUAAAUGAGCCGGCCCUUGGGGGCUACCAAUUGCUCCUGUCGAAAAUUCAAGGUACACAAGCCUUAAUCCGUUAUAUUGAAAGAUCCACUAUUCAGUUGGUAGAGUACAAAGCUCUUAACCUUGUGGACGUGGGUUCAAGCCCCAUGGUGGAGAUUACAUCAUAUACUGUUAUUAUCAAUGAAUCAUAUACAAAGUCCCAGCUCGGUAAUAUCUUACUGACCUGGCCCUUGGGGGCUACACGUUGCUGGUCAAGUUUACAUGAUCAUAUUUACAAAGUCCCUGCUCAUUAUUGCAUAAUGACCCGGCCCUUGGGGGCUACGCUGGUUGAAGUUUAUAUGAGCAUAAGGCAAUUACAAGUCCCAGGUUGCUGCAAGCAUGACAACCCGGCACUUGGGGGCUACAUAAUAUGGAGUAUUCAGUUUUUACUAGUGACUGAGAUGAACAAUAUGGAUUUCUUCAAAGUGGCAGCAUUUAUAUUGAAGCAAGUCUUAAGCCAUCACUUUGUUCUACUCAAGACUAGAGGGCUACAGGUAUUAUAUUAUUAUCGAAGAAAUAUUUUCAAAUUCUCUAUUUUGAGCAAACCAGAUUGACUCGGCGUCACCAAUCAUUAUGACCCUAUGUCUACAACCCGGCGUCAUCAAUAAUCAUGAACCGGCGUUGGCAACAAUCAUGACCCGGAAUUAUCAGCCUUUAUAACCCGACAAUGGUGGUAAUCAUAAACCGGCAAGUUUUACAUCUUCAAGCCGGCUGGAUAUCAGUUGAAUAUUUCAGAGACUAAUAUUUUUGUCAAGUCAGAGCAUUGAAGGCCAAUUCAAAUGGAUUCUUUAUUUACAAGUGCCAAUAUCAGCAAAUGGGUUAUAAAGCAUGUAGGGUUGUUACCGGAUGAUGUUUCCCGGGGCCCGAAGCUGUCUAAAUCCUCGUCUUAUGUUGCGUCUCUCGAUUCCGCUCAACCCCUCUCAAGCUACCACAUAGAUGCGUUGGCCUCGCGACUAAGUCCUGACACCAAGGACAUCUGCCGUGACAAAUCUACGACAAAUCUCGAAUGGGGCCUUGCCCGAACUCGCUUGGAAGCUGUUGUUGUAGGAGAAUUCGGCAUAUGGAAGACAAUCUUCCCAUUUCAUGCCAAAGGAAAUGACACAAGCCCUGAGCAUAUCUUCAAGAAUUUGAUUGACUCGCUCGACUUGGCCACUAGUUUGAGGAUGGAAAGCUGUGCUGAAGGGAAUGUUUGUGCCCAUGGCCUUCUGGAAGGAGUUCCAGAACUUAGAAGUGAAGAUACUUCCACGAUCUGAAGAAAUCAAUUGUGGAAUGCCGUGCAAAGAGACAAUCCUGGAGGUGUAUAGCUUUGCCAACUGAGCUGUUGUGAUAGAUUCUUUGAUUGGAAGGAAAUGAGCCACUUUUGUAAGCUUGUCAAUGGCAACGAAGAUAGCAUCAUUUCCACGCUUGGACUUGGGAAAUCCAGUCACGAAGUCCAUUUCGAUAUGAUCAAACUUCCAUUCUGGGAUAGCAAGAGGUUGGAGGAGACCAGCUGGUCGUUGGUGUUCUGCUUUCACCCUUCGAGAGACAUCACAUUCAUUCACGAAUUGAGCGAUUUCUCGCUUCAUUCAAGUCCACCAAUACGACUGCUUGAGGUCAUGGUACAUGUUCGUACUUCCAAGAUGAAUGGAAAGAAGAGAAUUUUGCGCCUCGUUCAUAAUGACUUUCCUUAGAUCACCUUUAGGAACCACAAUCCGGUCCUCGAAGAAUAAAGUGUCUCUGUCAUCAAUGCGAUAGCACUUGUAUUUGGAAAGACCCUUGUCGAUACCACGUUUCACCUUCUUCACCAUGGCAUCAAGAAGUUGUGCCUCACGAAUUUGAUCUUCCAAAGUAGGAGAGACUAUUAGGUUUGCAAGAAAGCCUUGAGGAACAACUUGGAGAUUCAGCUUGCGGAAAGCUUCACAAAGAUCCGGUUGGAAUGGCUUGAGAAUUAGGCUGUUGCAAUAAGCCUUCCUGCUCAAAGCAUCUGCAAUGACAUUGGCUUUGCCUGGAGUAUAUUCAAUACUCGGAUUGUACUCUUGAAUCAUUUCAACCCAUCGAGUCUGUCGGAGGUUGAGGUUGGGCUGAGUGAAGAUGUACUUGAGACUCUUGUGAUCGGUGAAUAUGUCCACUUUUCUUCCCAACAAGAGAUGUCUCCAUGUGAUUAAUGCAUGGAAAACUGCCGCCAACUCAAGAUCGUGAGUGGGGUAGUUCUUUUCGUUGGGCUUCAACUGACGAGAGGUAUAGGCCACAACUUUCUUCUCUUGCAUUAACACAACACCGAGACCUUGAAGAGAAGCAUCACAGAAAACUUCGAAUGGCUUGGAUUCGUCAGGAGGAGUUAAGACAGGAGCUGUGACGAGUUUCUCUUUGAGAGUGUUGAAAGCAACGUCACACUCAGGAGUCCAAACAUACUUCACAUGCUUCUGAAGGAGGUUGGAAAGAGGCUUUGCAAUCUAAGAGAAAUUCUCAACGAAUCUUCGGCAAUAGCUUGCAAGACCAAGAAAACCGCGAAGCUGGUUGACAUUUUGAGGAGGUUCCCAAUUCACAAUUGCAGACACCUUCUCGGGAUUAACAGCGAUGCCCUUGGCAGAGAUGAUAUGACCAAGGUAAAGAACUUCAUCAAGCCAAAACUCACAUUUUGAAAACUUCGCAUAGAAUUGAUACUCUCUGAGCUUGUCGAGCACCAAUCGCAAAUGUUUGGCAUGAUCCUUCUUAUUCUUGGAGAAGACCAAGCUAUCAUCGAGAUACACCAGGACGAAUUCAUUGGUAUAGGGGUUGAAGAUGAAAUUCAUCAUUCGAGAGAAUGUUGGAGGAGCAUUGACAAGGCCGAAAGACAUGACAGUAUAUUCAUAAGAACCAAAGCUUGUUCUGAAAGCUGUCUUGGGAAUAUCUUCUUCACGAAUGUGAAUCUGAUGAUAACCCAUACGAAGGUCAAGCUUGGAGAAUACUUUAGCACCUUUAAGUUGCUCGAAUAGUUCAUUGAUGUUGGGAAGUGGAUACUUGUUAUUGAUUGUCUUCUUGUUCAAUGGACGGUAGUCGACACAAAGUCUGUCCGUGCCAUCCUUCUUCUGGACAAAAAGAACACCAGAACCCCAUGGAGAUGAACUCGGUCUGAUCAAACCCAGACGCUCUUGUUCAUCGAGCUGUUUCUUCAAUUCCUUCAGCUCCUUGGGUCCAAGCUUAUAAGGACGCUUGCAAACGGGUUGAGUGCCAGGCUCAAGAUCGAUAACGAACUCAACUGGCCGGUGAGGAGGCAUGCCCGGAAGCUCUUCUGGAAAGACAUCUUGGUACUCACAAACGACUGGAAUCUGAGAGAUGGCAUUCAACUCGCCCUUCUCAUUGAGAGAAAAUAACCGAAUGGUUUCAUCACGAGCGGCAUAUAUAAUCACAUCCUCAGAAGAGUGUGUCAAUUGAAUUUCCCUGGGAGCACAAUCAAGUUGAGCCUUGUGCUUAGAAAGCCAGUCCAUCCCGAGAAUAAGAUCAAUAUCCGAGUCACCAAGGACAAUUGGAGAAGAUAGAAAUUUAUAAUCGCCCAUCCUGAUGGAAACAUCCGGAACCACCAAACUAGAAAUCAAACGUUUACCCGAAGAAACGACAUCCAUGGGUUUACCCAAAUGUGAACAAGUGAAUUCAUGCUUGGCAAAAAACGGUCUUGAAAUGAAACAAAGCGAAGCACCAGUGUCAAAUAAGACUUUUGCAGGAAUAUCAUUAACUGAGAGAUUACCCAUUAUCACAUCAGUAGAUUCCUCCGCUUGAGCUGCAUUCAUCAUGUUCACCUUUGCAGACUUGGGAUUAUGCUUGACCACUGCAUUGCUGGAAGAUAUCACGGGAGGAGGAGGCGGAAGACGCCUUUGGUUGAAGCACUUGUUAGCAUAGUGACCUUUCUGCUGACACUUGUUGCAAGUCACCUCUGAGAGUGGACGAUGAUAAGGAGCAUUCGACUUUGGAGCUUGAUUCUGAGACUUGUUCUGAUAGCCAGGGUUGGAUGAGUGGGAAGACCCAUGGCCACCUUUGUUCUUCUGCUGGAAGGGCUGACGAAACGUAGGAGGAGGAGGCAACCAGAACUUAUGUUGCUUAGCAGCCACUAGUGAGGAAGAAGAAGACUGAACUGCGUCCCUGACUCUCUUCUUAGAUGCCUCACACUUGAGCUGAGCAGCCUCUUGCUUCAGAGCCAUAUUGUAGAAAUCAUCAUACUUGGUCGGCUCAAAAAGCACGAGAGGUAAUUGCAGAUCUUCUCUGAGGCCACCUCUGAAUUGAUAGAUCAUGCUCUUUUCAUCAAGAACGUCUUGCUUAGCAAAGCGAGCGAGUUUCUGAAACUGAGUAUUGUAUUGAUACACGGACAUGCUGCCUUGCUUGAGAUUGCGGAACUCCUCACGCUUGCUCUCAACAACACUUUGUGGAAUGUGGUGAGCUUUGAAGUCUCGGCGGAAAUCAUCCCAGGUAAUCAAACGACCUCCUCUGGAAUCUUUGUAUUGUUGAUACCACUCGGCAGCUUGAUCCUUGAGUUGAAAAGAAGCGAACUUGACAAAGUCCUCAGGCCUGACGUUGCUACAUUCAAAAUGCUUGUUGAUGUCCACGAGCCAAUCAUCGGCGUCUGUGGCCUCGGCACAGCAGCUGAAAGACUUGGACUGAUUUGCGAGGAACUGGUUGAGGGUAGUGAAGUGAGGCUGAUUGUUGCCUUGGCCUUGAUUUCCUUGAUUGCCUUGCCCUUGGGUGCGUUCUUGCAAGAGUUGCAAAAUCAUCUGAGCAUUGGCGUUGGUGGCUGCCAUGAUAGCUUGCCAUGCCUCCGGAGGCGGAGGUGGUGGCGGAGGGUUCGCCUGACUCUCUCAAUUGCGUUCCGGAUUCUGACGCGUUGGCGGAGCCAUCCUGAAGAGGGUGACAUCCGUUAGCAUCUUGAUAGACAGAUAGGCAAAUUGAAUCAAUGGAUAGAAAUUGCAACAUAUAGUCUUCACAAUAAACAUUCGAACGAGGAUGAACGAAUGAAUUCCAUAGUAAAUCAUCACCCUUCCAUUAAGGUGAGAAGCCACUUGAUAAGAGAUUGAUGAAUAAAAUGAAAAGGUACGAGUGGAACAAAUAAGUGGUAAGGAUUACCCAAUCACAAACCAAAUAUCUGCGGGAAGAAAUGCUAAGAGCUACUUCAAUCCCACCUAUAAACUCCCGAAACUUUCUGGUUAUGCAAUCUGGUGUUGGGGAUACAGGGGACACAAAAUAUAUCACCCAAACUAGCAAUUCCUAGGUCCAGCUGUAUCCAUCCGUCAACACAUAACCAAGAAACCUUCGGAAAUCGUGUACCUCAACCUUCGAAAAGCAUCCGUUAUACGAGUUAUGGCAAUACUCCCGAACUCCCGCCCCAGUACUGGGUGGCGUCGAGGUGAUCUCACCAACAACUGCAUAAAAGAGAUUUUCGAUGUCGGCUAAACUCAGGUAUUCCAGAACUGCAACGAUAAAAUUGUGACGACAACACCUCAGAGCUCAACCCCCCGGGACACUGCCACAACCCCUAAAUGUCAGGAGGCACCAAGAACAAUGUUCUCGUCACAAAACCAUCGGAACGAUUCCAAGAUACCCGCGUGAUCUUAAAAAAAAAUUAGUGAAAUUUGAGGAGAGAAGAGACAAAACUUCUACGUCAGGAGACCUCACCAGAGCGACGAAGGGACUGAGGAGUAAAAAGAAUCCUACUCUCCGAUUUAUAUAAUUCUAAGACUCAAAACAUUUUUUUUCUAGACUCAACAAUGCCAACGAUUCGAUCAAGCAGGGGGCUCCUAAGUCGGGGAUGGCUCUGAUUACCAACUUGUAACGCCCACGAUGCGGCUAUAUCUCCCACGUGUCGAGGCACGACUUAGAGGCAUAACCGCAUUGUGGUUUUGUCGCAAGAAGGGUCAUCUUCACACAAUCCCAUGUAAUGAACAAGAAUGGGAUAACGAGAGUUGGCUUACAAUCGCCACUUCACACAAUACAUAAAUAUAAUUCAUACAUCAUCCAAAAUCCACACAUAGACCGACUACGGUUGAAUCCAAAUGAAAAUAAGAUAACCCCAAAUGCUAGAUCCCCGAUCGUCCCAACUGGGCUCCACUACUGAUCAUCAGAAAAAGAAACAUAGUAACGACCACGUUCCUCAUCAAACUCCCACUUGAGCUCGGUUGCGUCAUCUGCACUAGCAUCGUCGGCACCUGCAACUGUUUUGGUAGAAUCUGUGAGUCACGAGGACUCAAGAAUCUCACACCCGCGAGAUCAAGACUAUUUAAGCUUAUAGGAAAGGGUGGUCUAAUGAGGUGGAGCUGCAGCAAGCACUAAGCAUAUAUGGUGGCUAACAUACGCAAAUGAGAGCGAGAAGAGAAGCAACACAACGGCCGCGAAGCUAGAAGUGAUCAAGAAGUGAUCCUGAAACUACUUACGUUCAGGGGGCGCCGGACAUCGCUCGGUUUGGGCCAGCACUCGAAGGAGCACUGGUCCGGGGGGGUUAAAAUAAAGAUGACCCUCGGGCUCGCGAAAACCCAAGGGAAAAAGGCUUAGGUGGCAAAUGGUAAAACCAAGGUUGGGCCUUGCUGGAGGAAUUUUAUUCAAGGCGAACUGUCAAGGGGGUCCCAUAAAUCAUCCAACCGCGUAAGGAACGCAAACUCAAGGAACAUAAUACCGGUAUGACGGAAACUAGGGCGGCAAGAGUGGAACAAAACACCAGGCAUAAGGCCGAGCCUUCCACCCUUUACCAAAUAUAUAGAUGCAUUAAUUAAAUAAGAGAUAUUGUGAUAUUCCAAAAUAUUCAUGUUCCAACAUGGAACCAACUUCAACUUCGCCUACAACUAGCAACGCUAUAAGAAGGGCUGAGCAGAAGCGGUAACUUAGCCAAACAACGGUUUGCUAGGGAAGGAUGGUUAGAGGCUUGACAUGGCAAAUAUGGGAGGAAUGGUAUAGCAAGUGGUAGGUAGCGCGGCAUAGCAAUAGAACGAACAACUAGCAAAGCAAAGAUAGAAGUGAUUUCGAGGGUAUGGUCAUCUUGCCUGCAAGGUUCUCAGAGUUGUCGAAAGCUUGAUCCUCGUAAGCGUACUCAACAGGUUCCUCGUUCACGAACUCGUCUCCCGGCUCUACCCACAACAAGAACACAAGCAAUGGAACCACAAUCAAUCACGGGAAAUGCACAAGCAACAUGAUGCAAAACAUGCAUGAUAUGCGAGAUAUGAUAUGCGAUGCAUAUGCGUGCUCCGGAAGAAAAGAAUGAACAAGGCAGUAACUUGGCAAAACAAGUAUGCCACUGGAAAGAUGAGAUGAUUUCGGUCAAAAUCGAUAAAGAUCACCGGAAACGGAUGCACGGUUUGCAAAUGACAAGCAAAACAAGAAUGACACGAUUCUGCGAUUAACAGCAUGACAGCACUUAGAAUGCAACAAGUAACUAUGCUACAGCACCCCAACAUAGCAACAAAGCAUAUGGCAGUAAUCUACAGGAGAUGCUUGACAAAAGAUGAACACUGAGCUACGGCUAGAUCACACCAUAACAGGUUCAAACAAGCAUGGCAAAAGUGCAAAAGAUAACAGGAUCACAGACGGUGAAAUUACUGGACAUGGCUGAAACAGCAUCAGGUAGCAAUGUUCAGAGCAAGAAAAACACAUGCUACAGGAACCUAACAUAGAAAAACAAGGCAUGGCAUGAAUCUACUAAAUGCAUAGAACGGAAGUCCCUUACCGAUCAUGAGCCAGAAAGGACCAGAAGAUAUGAUGGCACCCAUGUAAACGUAGCAAGUUUCGUUAACAGGUUUCAGACUUAGCAGAAAACAGAGCAUGGCAGAAACAGUAUUAUGAAGGCAUCUUGGUGAGCUUGAUUCACUCAUCACAAAGCAAUGCAUGACAAAACAAGUAUACCUACAGCAAGAUGGCAUGUUUAUCAAGCUAACCAUGGCAAGAGAAUGUUCAUAGCAUGUAUGGAUCAACUACAACAACCUUGGCAAAAUUGAAUAUUAUGUUGACAAUCUGCCAGCAAUAUUUUAUAGCAAAAGUAGAGCAAGAUUAAGACAUGCUAUGGCACUCCAUAAUUGCAAACAGGGGCAUGGAUGGAUAGAGAACAACUAUAUCUACAAAACAUCCUUACUGUACAUGCCCAAAAGAAGCAUGGAUCUCUCUGUAGCCACAUGGAUACAUAACAACAAAAUAACAGCAGUAACAGACGGCAAAAAUCCGAAGUCCCUAAAAACAGAAACAUCACGAAGCCUAGUUUGCAUGCUUGUGCUAGUCACCACAUAGAUCACAAAAAUACAUGGAAUACACCUCUGUAAAGCUGGCAUGACAUAGAUCAAAACACAUGUAGAGCUCAUACUCAUAAGAUGCACACAUCAAUUGCAACAAAAAUAACAAAUCACCAAGUUCUGAUAAGUAGCAGCAGUUAACAGCAUAUAGCACUCUUGCACCAGAGAGUUGGGCAUCAAGAUGGACUCAAACGAGCAUGGAACAAUAGAACAAAAUGAAGAGCAUCUCGAGACGAACAUUUCUAUAUAUUACACGCACGAAACGGAGCAGUAUGCACGGAGUUAUGAUGCGAUGAACAUGAGCACAUAAAGUGAAAUAUAUGGGACUUAGAGAGUUUCGGGGGAGGGGAGAAGUCAACCUUCGAACGAGAUCUGGAUCAGGCGCGGCUCGGGCUCGCCGGAGCUCGCGCCGGAGCUGGAGCUGGCCGGCCGGAGCGGAGAGGAGGGAGAGGAGCUCGGAGAGGGGCGCGGGGUCCGGCGAGGAGGACGNNNNNNNNNNNNNNNNNNNNNNNNNNNNNNNNNNNNNNNNNNNNNNNNNNNNNNNNNNNNNNNNNNNNNNNNNNNNNNNNNNNNNNNNNNNNNNNNNNNNNNNNNNNNNNNNNNNNNNNNNNNNNNNNNNNNNNNNNNNNNNNNNNNNNNNNNNNNNNNNNNNNNNNNNNNNNNNNNNNNNNNNNNNNNNNNNNNNNNNNNNNNNNNNNNNNNNNNNNNNNNNNNNNNNNNNNNNNNNNNNNNNNNNNNNNNNNNNNNNNNNNNNNNNNNNNNNNNNNNNNNNNNNNNNNNNNNNNNNNNNNNNNNNNNNNNNNNNNNNNNNNNNNNNNNNNNNNNNNNNNNNNNNNNNNNNNNNNNNNNNNNNNNNNNNNNNNNNNNNNNNNNNNNNNNNNNNNNNNNNNNNNNNNNNNNNNNNNNNNNNNNNNNNNNNNNNNNNNNNNNNNNNNNNNNNNNNNNNNNNNNNNNNNNNNNNNNNNNNNNNNNNNNNNNNNNNNNNNNNNNNNNNNNNNNNNNNNNNNNNNNNNNNNNNNNNNNNNNNNNNNNNNNNNNNNNNNNNNNNNNNNNNNNNNNNNNNNNNNNNNNNNNNNNNGUGGCGGCUGCGGAUAGGCCCGGGGCGGUGGCGGGAUUUUGUCCGGCUCGGGCCGGACACGUCCGGCUGCGGAGAGGGGAAGGGGACUAGGGUUUGCAACGUGAAUUCGGAGGGGGGUCACAUAUAUAUAGGUAGAGGGAGCUUGGAGACUCCAAAUGGGGUGCGGUUUUCGCCCACACGAUCAUGAUCGAACGACCGAGAGCAUGGAAGGGACUUGGAUGGGAUAUUGGGCUGUUAGGAGGGGGUUUUUUCUGCAACACACAAAAGGACUUUGCGGUUACCCGGUUAACCGUUGGAGCAUCAAACGACCUCCAAAUGGAACGAAACUUGACAGGUGGUCUACCGGUGGUGUACCAAGGCCACUUGGCAAACCUCGGUCCAUUCCGAGAACGUUUAACACCCGCUCACGAAAAGAAACAAGAGGGACGCGCCGGUGCACGUGGGAGUGUCGGAUUGCAAAACGGACAACGGGGAAAAUGCUCGGACGCAAGAGACGAACACGUAUGCAAAUGAGAUGCACAUGAUGACAUGAUAUGAGAUGCAUGGCAACAAAAUACAAAACGAAAAACAAAACCCAACCACGGAGGGAAUAUCAUAACACAUAGCCAAAAAUGGCAAGAGUUGGAGUUACAAAUAUGGAAAGUUACAUCCGGGGUGUUACAUAUAUCUAGCUAUGCCUAGUCUCAGAUUUGGGUUCCUGAACAAUCUUGUGAUGUUAUAUACCAGAUCUUGAAAGCAAACUUUCUAAUUUAUUUACUUUGCCCCAUUCUUGCCAAGUUACUGCUUCUUAAAUCGGCUACAUGCCUAGUGUGUUUGUGCUAAACUAGAUACAUGCCUAUUGUCUUUGUAUAUAUAUGGUCAUGCAAAGAAUAUGAUGUUGUCUGAAAAAAUAACAUAUGGAAGGGGCUAGCCUUGUCCUAAUUUUAACUCUGAAUCUUUAGGAUAACCUGAAGUUUGCUUGUCUUGCCCAUAAUAAUGGUGUAUCCAAUUAAUUGCGUAAAAGUAUUAGCUAUUGUAAUUUAAUUUCACUGGUGAAAGUAGGGUAUCUAGUUUUUUUGGCAGGGAGUACUAGUAUUAAUUAAGCUAAUAGUUCAAUUUAACCAUCGAGAACGUUGAAAGCUAAUCCCAUUCAAGUUGUUCCCUCCUGUACUAGGCAAUUGAACCAUGGUUUAUUUUAUUUUCAAGCCUAUUAUGUUUGAGCAUAGGCAAAAAAAUCACGUUGUAUGUUAGAGCAUCUACAACCAGAAUUGCCUAAUAUGAGUCCCUAAUACAAGUCGAACGAUAAAUUUAGAGCAUAGUUCAUUGCCAAUCAGACCCAAAAGACAUUGUUCGUCGGAUUACUACAAAGAGAGUAAAACUAGAUAAAAUGUAAAAUAUGGAGCGGGACUGGAGGUGCUGGCGCCGGAGGGGAAGGGACACACCCUCCCUGCUCCGGAUCUUGAGCGGCGCAGAGCGGGGCGGGCGGGCGACCACGGCCCGCAUUUUGCUGGCGGGAGGUGGAGGAGCUAGUGGACGCGACGAAGCUUGUGCUCCCGCCGGUGUCCAAGCGCGAGCGCUUGAUGGCGAUGCAGAGCACGUGGUUCUCCUCGUUCGACACGCCGCUGCUAGAUCCGCCGUCCUCCUCCUUCAUGAGACCGUGCCAAUCCAUGGGAUCGGGCUCGCUGCCGGAAUCCUGACCGGACUUGGCCAUGGCGGAGGGGAGGAGAUGGAUUUGGGAGGAAGCAUAGGCGAUGAGGGAAGCGGAUAAGACGAGUGUGGACUGAGAAAGUGAGGGUAUGACUAGGGUUUGUCUGAUAGGGGUGGCGUAUUUGUGGGGUCAUCGGUGGGGGUGGCGCGGGUCCUAGCCAACCGAUCCGACUUGGCGCCCGUGUCUGGGCGCGUCCGGGUGUCCCCAUAUCCACCCCGGCAGCAGCGUGCCCGUCUCCCUGUACCUCUGGCAGACCUUGGCCUUGACUUACGGACAUAACAUUAAACAUGCGGUCUAUACGGACAGACGCGAGCAGCAUGGGGUCGCGCGUUGGAGUUGGCCUCAUCCAUUAUCUCUGUCCAUUUUACACUUUUCUCAUAAUAAAUUGGACUAGUGUCUAUACGAUUGAAGCUAUAAGGAUUGUUUCAAAUUUGUUUUCAGUUUAACAUUCUUUUCUUGCCAAAUGAUACCUUUCAUGCAGUGUGCAUCCAGCAACUGAAGAGAAUUUUUUUAUUCAUAAGAACAUAAAUCAGCGUCUGCUUAUUAUGUUUAUAUCUACUCCUUUCGGAAACAUACAUGUAAGUAAAAAAAUAUGUGCUUAUAUCUAGUUUCAAAUUUUAUAUUGUAUUGUAACUACAUUGUUCAUUUUUGAUUUACAGGUUUCCUAAAGCUAGCAAAUGAAAAUGUUUAAAGAAGUUAAUGGUGAAAGCUUCAGACUCUUCCAACAGCAAAACAUUUUGACAUGGGGCAGUCACAUAUAGGCAUCUUUUUAAUGAACUGAAUGUUCAUUAUUGCUUGAUAUCUAACUGUAGUUAGUAUUUGUGAUGGUAAGACCAUGAUUACCACAUUAAUAUCCUUGGUGCAGUGUUACUCGUGCGAAUUUGACAUGUAUAGCUUAUGGUCAACGUGUAUGAUUGGGUUGAAUUAUUUUAUUGUUGUGCUGAUUAUGUGUAUAUUUCAUGUUUCCUACUUUU
rnacentral:lncRNA from 1 species